UGGCACUCCUCCGAGUCCACCUCCAUUCUAACUUAUGCUUGAUUUUGGGUAGCUAAUUCCCUAUUGACUGGUCAUCGCUUCCUCGCCCCUUUCGACCCCUUGCUUCAACACCUCUGUGUUCUCCAAGCAGCUCCCUUUGGUCGAUGGAAAGAUAGACUGCAACUCCCAUGCAUGGCCUCUGCCAUCACGUUGUAGGGUUUGCACCUAUUAUGUUCUCCUUAGCUUCCUUGGUAGCAACGUUCGCUUACUCGACCUUGUCCUCUGACUUGCCAAGCUCUAGCGAAUAUAGACUCUAGAGUAGUCCAACUCUCCAGCUGCUUCGAUCAUACCUCUGCAUGAUCAAGUUCCUCUCAUAAGACUCACUGGUACUUGCAUUUGAACUUUUCCCUUGGUGGAACACAGCCCCCAUAUGCUAGUGACCAAAGCUUUCAUCUGAUGCAAAAUUCGAUGCACGCACGGAAGACCCGCCUCUGUGGUACUAUGACCUUCACUCCUUAAAUCCACAGCCUUCUUACCUUCGUGUUGUUCACUGAAGUGGAGCUUCCAAUAGCUCCCAAUCAUACCUCUGUAUGAUCUAAUCCCUCACGGGACUAUAUCGUGUGUAUUGCAUUAUCACAAACUGUUCCACCACGAUCCACUGCACCAUGUCGCCUACUGGUGACAUCUCUAUUGCAUUAUGAUCCUUGUGGGAUGAACUCGAAUUGUGAUCCCUCCAUAUGUGACCUCUGUCAAUACAUUGCAGGGUCUCUUUCACCUUCGAUUUUGUUCGCUCAUUUGGCAAUCGACCUUUAUCCACCCGCUCUUGGGUCACACCUAGAUGAAGCAUCGCCCUAGGACAGUUCGUCUCCUAGUAGCUCCCAAAGUCCAUCGACUUUGCUAAAAGUGGUGCACUAUUGUUUGGAUCCAGGGCUUUUGCCCCCACUAGCAUAAUCUCCGCUACGCACCGCUUCCUUCAUGACAAAUUGAAUGCCAACACUGUGGCAUAUUCUUCAAGAGUACCCGCCUUCAUGUUCUCUUGCCUUGUGCUAAGGCUAUCUGAACCUAACUUUGCCUUCGCAAGUUGAGUCGCCUUAGUUCCUCCGUCAAAUGCUUCUUCGAGAUAAGGUGCAUGUGCUCAGAAGCUCCCUUCGUCUUUGGCACUAUGCAAGAUGAGUCUGCUCCGUCAUGAAGGACCCAUGGAACAAUAUGAUCCUGCUCUUGCCUCUGUAAGAGUUCAUAUCCUUGAUCUCUGUCCAAGGAAAGCUCUGUGCCUCCACUCCAUGUGCCAUCUUCUAUGCUGGCUCCCUUCAUGCGGCUUGGGUACUUCGCUAAGUUACACCCAAGUUGCUCUGCUCCUCGUUUUACAUUGAGUUGAUGGUAGCCCUCAUGACCACCAUUCCACGGGUCAGCCUCUCUUGAGUCUGAUCUUCAUAUCGACUCCAAGUGUGUCUUCAUUUGUGUUACUUUUGGGUCACUCUCCCACUUGAUCUCGCAAUGCAUCCACCAAUGCAUUCUCUCAAGCGAGAUCAUGCGACGACUCCUCACCGCUUGCUCUAUCCAUUGAGCUUCGUGGAGUUGUUGUUUGUUGAGGUACUCCUCCUCAACAUGUGCAGUCUGUUGCACAUGAUUCUCCCUCUAGAGAAAUCGGGAUCUAUCCCUCCUAGAUAACUAUCCCGUUGAAGCAAUAUCUCUCUUCGUUUCGAAGACCACCAUCCCCUUGGACUACUUUAAUUUUCUAAACAAAUUAUGCAUUGUUCUGCCUCCUGCAAACGCACUUGCUAGAUUGCGACUCCACGUCAAUACAGCCCCUGCUGCACCACUCAAGGCCUAGCAACAUGCUAGAGUCGCUGCACACUUUAACAUCCUAUGGACAUAUCCUUCACAUGCCGAAGAAAAAGUUUUAAUGCUCCAUAGCAUCGAGUUUCGGUCGCCUUGGGAUGACCACGAACAUUCCAUCGUCCGUAUACAAGCCCAUGUAUGAGUACCGAAUUCUUUGAGUUAGCAAUUCCCCUCAUCUCUAUGAGCUUUGCACAACUCUUUCGGUCGCUGAGCAACUCAUUCCACCUUGCAUGGUCUCAUCCUUUACCAAGCGCCUCGCUUGCCUUGAGCACAAUCAAGUAUAGUUGUUAACUUUGAGCCGUAGCUCAAACUCAGCCAUCCCAACCUUUGUGCGCUCCGCAUUCUUCUAAGCUUGCUUGAUCUCGUGGUGCCUCUUGUGCGAAGGGUUGGACAUUCCUCUGAAUGUCAAUCUUAGAUGCCCGCUCCUCUAAGCAACUCCUUUUCCCUACAUCUCCAUGGCCGUUUUACCCCAAAUAGUCACACGUGUGUUAACUACCCUCAACACAGCCCCACUAGGUCUCCCACGUUUGCAUGCCAAGUGUUUCUAUGAGUGCUUGUCCCACUUUGAUAUCAUCUAUCAUGGACUUAGCUAGUUUUACUUAAGUUGUGCGGCACCCUUGCGUGUCCGUCCGCAAAGGUCAGCCUCCCCGAAACCUCCCAUGGUCCCUUAGGACCUACAAAAGAGAAAACGGGUUAGAGAAAACAUCUCACUCGGGAUCCACAAGCAAACAUUACAGAAAACACUUCAUAGACAAUGUAAAUUAUAAACAAACUUUACAAGCUCUGAACAGUUGCACAACAAAGGGUCAAAAUAGUCCACUACAGAUCAAAAAUCUCUCACAAGUGUUCAAAUGACACAACCUUUAUUUAUAAGCCUAAAGCAGCCAUCAAACCUAACUAAAAUGGGACUAUUAAGCCUUCGGUCGUCCCUAUACAUGCUAUGCAAGCAUGAACAUACCAAAAGACAUGAACAUACGUAAACAUUACAUCAAACAUCAUGCUUAGAAGUUUGUCUGUGACAAUGGGGUCUAAGAAUUAGACCUUAGAAGAAAAUCCUAAUCACCCCUCUUCUCCUUCUCGAGUCUUUCCAAAGUCUAAGUCUAGAUCAAGCAUUCCUCUAUCUAAUCCAUUGGCCCAUUUGAAGUCCAUGGGUACUCCACUUCCUCCUUAACCUCCUCUAAUGAAAGCAAACUUUUAGUUCUCAGCAUUACCUCCUAAAAAAUAAAUAUACUUAAAACAUCCUCAAAGACAUUAGGCUGAGGGCACUCUUGUUGAUGACAAUUUACUAAAAGGAAAUCUUGAAGCAGAAUGGUCGGCUCCUUUUUAGUCAUCUAACAUAAUCAGACGGUAACCUAUUCAGGGAAGUUUAAACCAUUUCCUUCUUACUCUUAAAUAUAAAUAAAUAAUAAUAAAUCUAAGAAGGCCAACACGGUCCAAAGCAUCCCGCAAUAAGUUUUUAAUAUAAUUUAGUUAACCUAUGUAUCUUUUAUUAUAAAACGUUAGAGGGGUGCUUAAAAAAGAUUAUAAAGAAGUUAUCUUUAGCUUCGUUCAAAGUUAUAGAUUAAAUUAUUUAAUCCUUCUUAAAUCUUUAUAAAAAGAAAUUCUUAAAAAAUUAUUAAAAGAAUAAGAAGAAAUUGGUCAGAAAAAUAUUCAAUUGGCACCGAUAGAUCUGAAGGUAUACUGGUGAUAUGGAGAUCAGACAAAAUUAAAACUUCAUUAGUGACUAAGAACUCCUAAGCUCAUAAUCUAGUUCUUCAAGUUGAAGGUAUAUCCCUUUGCUUCUUCUUAACUAUUUAUGCUGGUAAUUUUUUAUUUUUGCGGAAUGAAUUUAUUACUAUUGACUCCCUCUCUUAGUUUCAUGAUUUUGUUGUAGUGAUCUUAUUUAUGUUGCUUGUCUUGAUAGAUAAAAUUGGUGACCAUCCAUUUUCUCUUACUCUUUCUGUUUUGGACUUUAAAGAUUUUUUUUUUCAAUCGAGUUUAUAAGAUUUAAGUUUCAACAUAAAUCAUUUUACCUGAUAUAAUAAUUAUUUUAGUAAGGAUCAAUGUGCUGCUUGCUUAAAUCAUGCUUUCAAGUUAUGGUAAAUGGAUCUCUAUAUUUGAUUAUUGUGUUGUGUCUAAUAUUCCUAAAACUUUUUUAUAUCAUUUCCCAUCUUAGUUAUGGUCAAUGUUUGAGAAUUAUUUAUUGACAAAUAAGGAUAUCAAUUCCUUGGUUCUCAAAUCAUUUAUAGCUUCUAUGGUUUGCAUUCAUCAUCAGCUUACAUCUCUUAGUCUUUCUCUUAAUCAUUAGAAAAAGUAUAACAUUCAUAAUCUAAAGGACUCUUUAAGCAUACUACAUAACAAUUAGCUAAUUUAGAACUUAAGAAUUCUUCCAUUCCCCUUUCUGAUUCUGAACUUAAUCAACUUUAUUCCUUUCAUAAGAAACUUAUUGCUCUCAAUAUGCAACUUCACUUAAAAUUAUAGUCUUAGGGUAAAAUUCAAUGUAUCAAGCAAGGUGACAAGAAUACUAAUUUUAUCCACAAAUAAUAACCUAUAGACACAAAAGAAAUUAUAUCUCUCUAUUAGCUAGUGAGAAUGACUCCCUUGCUACUAAAACCAAUGAGAUAAUCUCUUUGAGCCUCUACCUAUAACAAUUCUUCUGAUUGGUCAAUUUGUCUUUCUCUCUCUAAUCUACCAUCAAUAAUCUUCCCCAAUCUCUAUUGUCCCUUCUCUCUCUCCAAUAGAUUUAAUCUACAUUGAAUCAAAUGGGCUUGAGAAAGAGCCUAGGAAGGAUUCAAUGUUGAAUUUUAUAAAUACUAUUAGAAUAUUCUCAAGUCUCCUCAAUAAUUUCUCAUUAUUUCACUCAACAGGCAACCAACCUAAGAGCUAGGGAAGAACUCACAUUAUCUUUAUUAUCAAGAAAAAUAAUCCAUUAGAGGUUAAGGAUUUUAGACCCAUUACCUAAUGUAAUAUGACCUAUAAACUCUUAUCUAAAGUACUAACUAAUCGAUUAAAGCUAUAUCUCCAAGAUUUAAUUAGUCGAAAGUAAUAUACUUUUUUACAAGGUUAUCCUAUUCAUGAUAACUUCCUCAUUUCUAAUCAACUCAUUCAUACAUUCUCUAAAUCUAAAAGUAAAUCCCCUCUUAUCCUACUAAAACUAGAUAUAGAAAAAGAAUUUGAUUCCAUCUCUUGAGAAGCAAUAAUAUAGGCUCUUUAUCGUAUGAAUUUUUCUAGAUUAUAUCAAAUGGACUGGCGUAUCUUCUCUUUUUUUUAUAUUUAAUCAAUGAUACUUCUAAUAGUUUCAAAUCUUAUAGAGGCAUAAGACAAGGGGAUUUUCCUAUCACUCUACUCAUUCAUUAUUUCUCAACAAAUCCAUUCUUCCUUAAUUUCUCAUUAUAGAGACCAAAAACUCAUCUCUCCCUUUAAUCUUAAGGGAAUUCAUAUACCUCACUUAAUAUCUUCUGAUAACAUUCCAAUCUCUUUUCGAGCAAACCCAAAAUCUAGUUCAAAAGUUCAUAAAGUACUUAAAACAUUCUAGUUGUUAAUUUAAUACCUUAAAGUUAAUUUAUCUAAAUCUAACAAUAAUUUUUCUAAACAUGUCUCUUCUUCCUCCAAACAUUCAAUUUGUACUUCAACAUGUAUUAGAGAAAGUAAUUAACCUAUAAAAUAUCUAGGUUCCUAUUCCUCACUUAGUCGUCUUCCUCAAAAUUAUCAAAAUAUUAUGGUUGAUAAAACCGAUUCAAUAAGGGUCUAAUUUUUUGAGCUAGUAAAAUGGUACUUAUUAAUUUUAUAAUCAAUUCAAUCCCAACUCACUUCUUUUUAACUAUAAUAUUUUCGAAUAUCAUACUUAAUCAUAUAACCCGAAUCUCUAUAAACUUCUUUUGAAAUUCUAAUUCUUCUUCAUCGUUACAAAGCUUAUUAGUUGGAAUAUCAUUUCUAAAUUCAAAGACUAUGGAGGCCUUGGAAUUCGUGAUCUUCUUACUAAAAGUACUCUUCUUAUCUUAAAUAAACAUUAGGAGAGGAUUUAGAACAAAAUAUGAUGACUUACACACUUGGACUGAACAUAUCAUUCCUAAUCCUUAUCGAUUGAGUGAGAUUAUUUAAUUAACCAUAAACAUUAUGAGAGGAUUUAGAAACGUAGGCAAUGAUCUUAAUAUAAUUAUAUGGUCUGAUCCUUGGAUUAAUAGUAUACCCAUUAGUCAUUGGCCUUCACUCAUUACUAUGGGAGAGUUCAAAAUUUUUUGUUCAGAUUAAAUGUUUUUUUCUACUAACAAUUGAAAUAUUUUUUUUCUUACUCGAUUUUUUCACCCAUCCUUUAUUUAUAGGAUUCUUAGAAUUUAUGUAUCCAGAAACUCGAGAGCUCACCAUGAAAGAACAUCUUGUCCUUCAACUUUCUGUAAAGUGGAUGAUCCUUUCAGUUCAUCCAACCCUCUAACAGUGUUCUUUUAGUUAAUAUUAUUUUUCUAUUACAAAGAAAAUUUACAUACUGCAAUUGUUGAAUCCAUUAAAAUUUCCAAAUGAAUCUUGACACCAUUUAUGAUCUCCUCUUCAACUUUCAUAUCAGACUUGCCUUGGAUUUGACUCUUCUCAUCCUUCAUUUCAACUGCCCUUAUUACUUGAAGCUGAUCCAAAUUUUGAAUUAUGCUUCAUUAUUAGUAAUUUAAAUUGAAUAAAAUUCUCUCUCUUUCGGGUUGAAGAAAUGAUUAUAAUUUAGCUCUAUUUAUUGAUCAUUUCAUGGCAAAAAAAGAUAGCAAUAACCAUGUUCUUUAAAUCUCAUUCAACUUGCAAAAACAAAAUAAGAAAAAAAAAGGAAAAAUUGAGUAUUCUACAUAAUAAUUUUUUUCAAAUAGAAUCAAUUAUUUUUUUAGGGAAUUAGUUUUCUCAAGAAGAUGAUUUUAUUACAUUAAAUAACAUAUAAAUGUCUAAGGUCAAACCUCAAAGCCAUCAAAUAUGUAAUAAUACACUAACCAAUAUAACAUCACAGAGGUAUAAUAGUUGGAAGAAGAGAUUUAUACUUCAUUCUUGACAAUGAUAGUUGUUCCAUGUGUUGAUUAGUGAGUGGAUUACUUGCCACAAAUACUUUGUGUUUUUUUUUGACAUAUGGGAACAUAAUGGCCAAACUAUUGACUAAAUUUGUUGACAUAUAUAUAUAUAUAUAUAUAUAUAUAUAUAUAUUUCUUUUGAUAUUUGACAUAUCAUUCAAGAUCACAUCAACUGAAACCAUAGCCAAAAACAAUACCAUCUUCUACUUUUCACAUGGGAUAAUGUGGUGUCUUUUUUUUUCUUCUCUUUUUGCAAGCUUUUCUAUACUAUAUAAAAGUAAAAAAAAAAAUCAAAUUUAUCAUUUGCAGAUUGUUAUUUUAUCAUAAAAAUUAUCAAGUACCUUUUAACCCUCAUGUUAUAAAGUUGUUGUGCUUUUCGAAUUAGAUGAGCAUCAAUUUUAAUCUUUUAAGUGAUUAUAUCUUUUCAUAAAUAUUUUAACAAAUUACACAUUAAUAUACAAUAAAUAACAUCAUUAGUUUCUCUAUAAAGGUGUCAUUCUUUUCUUCUCUUUUUUUUUUAAAUGAGAUAUAGAUUAGAUUAUUCCUCUUUUUAUUAAGAUAAAAAUGUAAUAUGGAAAAAUCCAUAGCUUUCAAUUGCUUCAAUCAAGCAAAAAACUAUAGCAACAAUAUCAUCUCUCUCUCUCUCUCUCUCUCUCUGAUAAUAGGAAUAGGAUUCUCUGCAAAACAAAAGUAUAUAAGAUUAUUAAAUUCCAUAAGACUUGUAAGCUUAAGUUAUUUAUAAUACGAAUUAAGACAUAUAUAUAGUCUGACUCUUUAAUCAUUUAGCAAUAUAAGAUUAAUCAUUUUAUAAUCUCUUAAUCUAUCUCAUAUAUGAACUUUUCCAACAUAAGUGACCCAUUAAAGUCCCAAUAGUCAGCCCAAAAUUUGUCAAUACUGAUAAGUUAUUGACAAAAACAAGAUGGGGAAGCUUGAAAGUUAUUUGAGAAGUUAGCUCUUUAGCAAGAUGGGGAAGCUUGAAAGUUAACCCUUCAAAGUUCAUUAGUUUGAUGUUAUCUUCAAAUCCUUUCUCCAAUCAAUGCCUACUAGUACUAAAUGUUGUCACAUUGAUAAUGCAUAAUCCACCUUCCAUGCAACAUCUUAGCCAAGAGCAUUUAAUAUCAUCAAAUUGUCAUAUGAUAAAUAGGAUAGGAACCCAUAACUUGUACUUCAUAAGAACAAGUGUUUUGCAUUCCACAUAGCAAGUUCCAUGUGAUUUCUCCCCAACCUGGUUCCCUUCAUCUUCUACCGAGGAAGUCCAAGAUAUGUGAAUGAUUGAUUCUUAUCCAUUCCAUCUCUCAUUUGAGCAUUUCCAUUAACCAGUGUUGUACGUGCUCUUCAGUUCCUUAUCUUCCUCUCUAUCAUCUGAAGAAUAUUGUUUGAUGUGCCAAUCUAAUCUGACAAAAAUUCAAGGCAAAGAUCUCCUCCCUAUAUGAUUUCCAAUUCUCAGUGCAAUCCAAUUCCUGAGUAUGGCAAGAACUAAACCUACCCAUCCACAUGCAUCAUUUAAGUAAGACCAAAAAUCCUCCUCUCACAUUUCCUUUGUCAUUUAAUUCGAUUAUAUUGCAUAGUCGAUCUCAUAAAUAAUAGUAUAUGAAGAUUUUAUUUGACAUUCUUUUAAUAAUUUGUUUGAGAGCAACGCUAUAAUAAAACCUAAUCCCACCAUAAAAAAAACUCAUAGUAAUAUUUUAUUUCUUCGACAUUUAUUAUAAACAUGACCCAAUCUUCUCAACAAUAGCAAGAAAGUCACUAUUCUCUCUCUCUCUCUCUCUCUCUCUCUCUCUCUCUCUCUCAAACACAAUAUAUGUGAAUCACUUGAGAUUGAUAUGCUGCAUUGCUAGUUCACACAAUCUGGUUAUAUUGGAUCCAAGUUUAAACGACAAUGUGACAAUGUUGGGCCCAAUUUGACAACGAGUUUUGAUAGAAUAAAUACUUGAAAACAAAUUGCUCAACUCGAGAUAAGAAAAUUCAUGAUAGAUUAUUAAGAAUUGAUCCAUAGAAUAUCAAAAAAUUUGUCAUAUAUCAUGACUAUUAUACAUACGGGAUAGCCUCAUAAACCUUGUAAAUGGAAAAAGAUUGUUUCUUUCUUUGUGUACAUGUUAUAGCGGACCUUUAAACCUUAAGCAAAUUAAGAAGAUCUAUUGCAUUCUAGAAUAAGUUAUAUAUAUAUAUAUAUAUAUAUAUAUAUAAUGAAUAGAUAAUUAAGACACUAACUGAAAUAGAAGUGAGUAGCACAUUAUUUAUUUAUUUAUUAUUUAUUUAUAUUUAACAAUUUUAUAUUAUUAAUUGGAAAUUUUCAAUGCUCACAUUCUAACAUAACAUUUGACCAAAUAUGAUUGUUUUUAGUCAUUUAAUUUGUGUCCAUUAAGUAGUCAUUACCUACUCAUAUUUUUUAUUUUCAUAAUUAUUUCCUGCUUUCCCAUAUUUUGGUCAGUAAGUAUUGUGUCAUUGGAAACUUGAUGAGCCCGAAUUAUCAGAAAGAGUUCUAAUAUUAUUAUGAACCAAUCAAAAAUUUUCUAAGUCUGAUUACAAAUAAAUUGAGCCUUCCAAAUAUCAUUCGACAUAUUUUCGAUAUAUGUUGAGCACGAAAACACAUGAAAGAUAUCGGUAAAUACCUUACUUGUUAAUAAUAAGGUAAGGUCAUAAUCAAAUCUCCUAUUAUUAAUUUAUUUUUAAUUAUUAAUUAAAAGGUCAUGUGAUCUAAUCUUUUAUCUUUCUAACCUAUCAUUGGCAAAUAAGAAAAUUAAGCACCCAUCUUAUUCCCAAAAAUACAAAUCUCUUACCCUUGUGGAUGCUCACUUAGCAAUCACCUCCAUUCAUUCACAAAGGCAGCUGAUUCAAACACACACAGAAAUCAAAGACAAGGUUAAUUUGAUCUGAACCCUAACAUGACCCAAAGACAGGGGUUGGAGAUGGCCAUCAAGUGCCCAAGCACCAAAGCUCGGAAAGGUCAAGACCUCAUGAGUGGAUACAUGGUUGGAUUCAAGUAAAAAGCAGCAACACCACUCAUUACCCUCACCCACCUUUCUUCUCCUUUUCCUCCCCAUGCAGCCAUCCCACAUGAUUGCUCACCCCUCCCUCAUAUCUUCUUGGGUUUCAGGCCAAGCUCAUGAUUAGUCCCCCCCCUCCUUUCCUCCUCACUCACUGUCCUCCACUACAAUUAUGACCAAAACCCUAAUGAUUGUUUCUCCUCCACCCACCAUUUCCAAGAUCACCUCACUCUACCACUAACUCACCUCUCUUUUUCUCUCUUUCACCCCAAAUCAUAAUGUUCACCCUAAAUUAGGUUUAGCAUUUGGAUGCUCCUUUACCAUCCAAAAACUUGAUUAUAUGUUUUUGAGGUUGAUCGAUGGAGUUGACAGCCAUUUCACUGAAAGAAUAAAGAUAUUAAAAUUGUUAAUUUAUUAUUGCUUGGCUUUUAUAGUUGUAAGAAUAUCAAAGGCCUUUAGAUAUUUUAUGUUUUAAUAUUAUCUAUAUUUAGAUUUUUUUAUUAGUGUUUUGUUAGUAUUGGUUUUUUUUCCAAUCCUUUUUUAACUUCUCACUAUAAAUUAUGUGAUCUCAAAUUAGUAUUUUUUUUCUAUUAUAAUACAUAUAAAUAAUAUAUAUCAUUAUAUAGAUCAAGAGAAUAAGAGAAAUUGAUAUUAUAUGUUUCUUAAAUUCAUGGACCAAGGAUGAAGUGAGAAAAAGAUAUGAUUUUUAAGUCAUGAAAAAAGUCAUCACAUAUAUAAAGAAUCUUAAUAUUUGAGGAGAGACAGACAUAUGCUACAUCAAAAUUUUAUUACAGUGAAUACAUAAUUCUCAAAAACCAAAUUGGCUUUGGCUUAUAAGUUUUCUUCAGAUCAACAACACAGGGUUGGGAACAAUUUGGCACAGUAGAUGGAGUGGAAGCUAUUCCCCACCAAAAAAGAGGAGUCUUUUGUGUGAAGUUAACUUGGCAAUUAUCACCUGUCAAGACAAGAUGGCAAUUAUUCUUGGCAACAAUCAUGGCAUGAGGAAUGUAAUCAUCAAUUGGCAUCAAAGAUUUAGCUGACUAAAGAGCAGGAAAACACUGUGCAUUGAUAAUGAGAUGUCAUGGUUAAAAGCAUGGGGUAUUAAUAGGAUGAUAGAAUGCUCUUCAUCUGUCAUUCUCUUCCUUGUCGAGGGUGUUUGCUUGCUUGGAAUUCAAAAUACUUAUAAAUCAUAAUUCUUUAGCUCCAAGUAAUAAUCAAAGGUGUAUUUUUUUCUCAAAAAAAUAAAAAUAAAAUACAUAUUUAAGUAGUAUCUAAAUAAAUAAUCAAGCUCGAAUUUAGUUAGUUAGAGUGAGAUUAAUGCCUAUUUUAUCGAUUACUUGUAUUAAUUUUUCACACUAACGUCAACUUGACUCGUCAAAUUAAGUUUAUAUGAGCAUACGAUCAUCGAUUUAUUGGACCGAUAAAUAGAUAGAUUCGAAUUCAAGUUAUUAUCUUCAUUAAUGAUCGAACUCUAGCUAGCCAUACUUAUCUUGAAAGUAUAGUCAUGCGGUUAAGAUAGGAAAGAAGGUACCAAAAUAAUGUUUUGAUUAGAAUUGAAGUAUGAUAGUAAAUAGUGGGAUUCAAAUUCAAGAAGGGUAAGCUAUUACCAUUUUGUUGAUGAUGCGAGCGAGCUAUACUUGUCCAACUUUGUCAUGAAGCUAAGUUGUUUCGAGUUUUGCCAUCUUCUCCGUUGUGCAAUUCUUGAAGCAAAGGCAUCGAAGUAGCAUUGCUUUAGGAGUUGGUCAUUAUACCUAAGCUUGUGUGGUAGGAUUCCCCCCAUGAUUGUUCUCUUUUCCUUUCACAGAAAGGUUGUCAUCGGAUCAUAUCCUGUUCACUUCUUCUACACACCCAUUACUUCCAUGCGGUUGGCCAAUCUAUCAUGUUGUGGAGGAAAGUAAGAGCUUGACAAGAUCUGAUUUGUCCUCGAGCAAAGACGCAGCUUAUCUCAAACCAGCCAUGGCAGCAAUUGCUUGCCUUUUGCCAUGUUGAGGAGCUCUUACUUGGGGUGCUGAAAGCAUCAUCGCCGAGUGAGGUUUUCCUUCCACGGGAUGCUUGCGAAGCCAAGCCAUCGCCCACAUUCGGUGGAGUCGAUUUGGGAGGAGGUGUGAGAUCACACGCCGGUUGGACUUGAUCGUAUCGGUCAGUGGCUUGCAUUUGUUGCCGAUGGCCACCACCUUCCUAUGCCAUUCUUCCGCAUCCUCAUCUUUGGAAUGUGUAUGAUUGGGGUCCAAUUCGUAUUCUAAUUUUGACUCGGAGUGGGUUACAAGUCAGAGAUUAGGUCCCGAUUUAUCUUAUCAGUCUACCAUCACACUCUUUCCACUUCUUUCAUUCAUAUAUAUGUAUAUAUAUCCCUUCUAUAAGUCACCUAAUGUCUAAAAAUAUAUCGAAGAAACUCGAUCACUUAAUUCAGAUGAGAGAGAGAACAUAUGAACUCAUACUGAUUUGUAGUGGGAAGAAGAAGAACACUUACUUAUUCAGCUUAAAACAAGAAGACACCCCAUGCAACUUAAUGCAAUUAGAUUGAGUCGGUGGAGUUGAUGGCUGUUCAUGGAAAUGGAUCGGAUCUGACCCGAUUGGAUUUAAUUGAGCUCCGAUAUGGGUUACAAUUUGGUCCACGAAUUGCAACGUGAUUUGGACCGAAAUGACCAAAAUACGGUAAAUAUGGAGAAGAAUGAAGGGUUAAUUGGUAAGGGGGAUGACGUGGGAAGGCAAGUGGGGGCGUAGAACUGUGACCUAUUAGAGGAAGAAGAAGGGAGGGGAAGAGAAAUGGAGGCGAGAGAAGGCGAGGCGGAGGCGUAGGGGGGCGGGGCCGGGGGCGGUGGUGGCAGCGGCAGCGGCGGCGGCGACGGAGGCGGGGGAUGGAUGGGGCGGCGGUGCUGAGGCAGCUCGUCGGCCAGAUCCAAGAGCUCUGCGAGCUCUACGGCUCUCCCUCCCUCGACUAUCCUCACCUCAACCCCAGGCAAAUGCCUCCCUCCCCGCUCCUCCUUUCUGCUCGUUCCUCCCUUAUUUGAUUUAGUUUCGGUCUUCGAAUUCCCGAUGAUCGGGUGGAAACGCAUGCUAAGUUUCGUCGACAAUGAAACGGCUUUGAACUAGCAAUCUGUCGAUCUCUUGAUCAUGGAGACCUGAGAACACGUUGGGGUCCGGAAAUCCUAGAAGAUUUGAAGGAUACGCGGGAAGUUUGCUGGCUAUUAUCUGUUCUCUCUAUUGUUGCUUGUGAUUUUUGGGGGGAUUCUAGUUUCCUAGUCUAUCAUGUCUCCACCCCCAAAUUCCGUUUGCAGAGGAAGUACUUGAUCGGCAGUUUAAUCUGUCUUCGUUCUUUCUCUGCUUAAUUUCCGACUUACUUCUAUGAAGUGUGCUGGUGGUCUUAGAAAGUCUUUCGCCGAUAAAGAUUGAUAUGUUGACUAUAAUCGUCUCAGCCAGACUCCACUUGGGGUAGAUGAUCUACAAAUUGCUUUUUGAUCAUUCUUUUCAUCCUCCUCUUUCUUUUGUGCUUCUAAUUAAUCCUGUUAUUGCCAGAGGGGAGCCUGCUGUAUCUCAGUCGACCACUAUUUGAACCCAAAAUAUGAUCUUCUAGAUCGGCUACCUGGCUUGCUUUCUCCAAGAAACCGGCUUCCGUGAAAACGCAACUCCUAGAUCUUCUUUGCUUCUGGAGAAGUUUGUUCUAAUGCCAACAAUCAGUAAGAAAACGCGAGUCUUAUUCCUCAUGUGAUGGGCCUUCUUGCUGAACUCUGAUGUUUAACUAAGCAGAAUAUCAUCUACUUCCUUUUGGCACCUCAUGCGGCACCACAACCCCUGAACCUAAUGAUCGAUUAUCAUGAUUUUCAGUAGACAAUGUGGUUGCAUCUUUAAAUAGAUAGUGAAACUUUAGCAUUCGAGCAACCAAAUUGUGCGGUAAAGUGUAUGAUGUUUCUCCUUCCUCCUGCUGCUCCUGACCCAUAAUACGCAGACCAUCUACUGGUGGUAGAAACGGUGAAUUUCUUCCACUGAAGUUCGAAACCUUCUAGAGGAUUUGAAUUAUUUUUACCUAAUCCAGUCUCCAUCAGGUGCUUCUAUGAGUUAUUUCUUAUCUUGAUAGAUUUUGAUGCCAUUCGUCUCAAUGAUUAUAUAUUAUCAAGCUGUUUUCAAUUAUCUUAGUUGCAAAUGAUGUUCAUUAUCUGGUUCUUGACGUUUGAUGUGCUUGUUUACUGUGGGAUUUUUGUGUGCAGCAUGCUGUUGACCCCUUUCAGAGAAAUGCAGUAGAGAUAUACAUAAAACUAUUCACCUAGUAUUCUAAUGGAACUUGUUUGCCUAAUUCCUAGCAGUGUAGCUGCCAUCCAUUUAUGUCCACAAUUCACUCCACCUUUAGCUUCUGGAAUUGAUGAGAUUGUCCUUUAGGAAAGCUGAGAACUUUAUAUCUCAAAGUGACAGAGCUUCCUCGUAUAAGGCAUCUUCUCCAGAUAUGACACGCAGAGAAUCCUUUCUAUAUUCUGUUGGUGGAGAAGCAUUGUAUCUCCUUGAAAACUUUCCUGGCCUCGUAGUGCAUCUUUUACAAAUUGGACUGCAUUUGCAUCCAAGUGUCCAGUAUUCAUGGCAGUUGAACAUGGAUUGGUUCAAUCACAUUGGCCUAUAUUUUAAGGGGAAAGAAUUGGUCAAGUUGGCUAGCCUAUUUGCGAAAACCACCUUUGAUACUGAACUAACAUUGUCUAUGACAGAACUUGCUAAUCUAGAUUCAGUAGGUCUGAGGUAGAGAUCAGUUUACCUUUAAUUAUGAGGUGUAAAGCAGGCUCCACAUAGAAAAUUCUUUCCUUUUCUACUCUCAUAUCAUUUGGAAAGUGUCGAGCAAAGUAAUGGGUUUGAUGUUGAAAACUUAAGUGUGCAAAUGCUCCUCUAAAUCACUAAUGUUCAAUCAACAACUCUUGAGAUAGCUCUGAUACUUGAUCUUGUUUUAAUAUUCCACAGGUAUCCUUGUUGAAGUAAUAAAUGUAUGUAGUUGAUCAUGCAAGAUGGCCCAAAUCUAACCAUGAGUGCCUUAGAUAUCCUAAUUAGACUGUUAAUUUGCUUAAGGUACCACCUGAACCAAUACAAUUUCAUAUUCUCAAUAUCAAAGAUGGUGAGGGGAACCUUUGGAUCUUCUAGCUUGCCGUACAUUAGAAAAAUUGCUCUACAUACAAAGGUCAGCCUGUACUUUCCAUAAAGGAAGGAACCUAACUAAAGGUGAUCUUUCUGUUUUAUGAUGAUUUGGAUACUACAGACAUGGAUAAACUAUAGAAUAAAUAAUUGAAAACAUUAUCGUUCAGGGAUGGUUUGUAUAUGUUACAAGGUUAGACUAGCCCCUAUCUAUGCACAUAGCCAUAUGGGUGGUAGGCAAUAAUUUUGAUUCAAUCGUGGGUCAACCAUGGCAUUAGAAACAAAAUUUAGAGAAAACAUAAAAAAGUAUUUAAUAAAAAAAUAUGCUAUUUGAAAGGUCAAAAUUUAUGGACGUUGAUAUAAGAUUUUUUUUUUUUUACAAAGGAUGUGUUUAUUAUGUAAAAUAUUUGUCUAAAUUCUACUUUGAAAUGCUUCUGGUAUUACAUUAUAGCACAAUAGAUAUUUAUAUCAAUGAGUGGACUGGCACAUUUUGGGCGGUCUGAUCCAACCCAAUUUAUGAUCAAAGAAAAAACAAAACUUAAAACACCAAUUAGGGCUCAUGAAUGCAAGCCUUGUUCUUCAAGGGAGCAUGGAAUCAAUGCUGUCGCCGCUGUCAUUCGCCAUUUCCAUCUAAUAAUGCCGCCACUGCCGUUGCCAUCUGACAUCACCACCACUAUCAUUUGUUGUCACCUACCUCCUCGGUGUGCUUCAUCCUCCUCUUCUCCCUUUUUCCUACUCCAUUACCAUAUCUUUUUCCUUCUUUUUCCUCCUUUUCCUCCACCGCCUCCACUUCUUCCUUUCUCUUUCUUUUUCUUCCUUCUCCUCUACGUCCAUUAUGCCUUCCUCUUCGCCUUCUUUGUCUUCGAAACACUGGUACAUAUACUGGUACCGAUUCGAUCGCAAUGUAAUGGUCCGGCCAAUGACCGUUAUUGGUCUAGUAUACGAUACGACAUUCCUUGAUUUAUAUGUUUGAAAUUUUAUGAAUACUCAAUCAUUGUAUCCAAUACAACAGAUGACACAUAAGUGAAAGUAUAAUGAUAAGUACGAACUAUACAGAUUCAACCUUGAGAGAUUCAAUCUUUUGACAUGUGUAAAUGGUUGACCUUAUGGUUCAAAUUCAUAUGAUUGAACCAUCUGGGUUAUCAAUUUUUGGGAAAUUUUUUUUGAUUUUUUAUUAUUGAUGUUGGCCCAAACUACAUGGCCCAUUUUCCUCUAGGCAGAUACUGAACAAUGGUCCAUAACACAAUUAGUUUAGAAAUUAGAAUAAAUGGUGUUUUAUGUAGCCUAUGACAGUAUUUAAGGGCUUUCUCCAGCAAUUCCUUUCCUAUCUGUGGGCAAUACCACAAUAUGCCAUUGUGGUAUUGCCCACAUAAUAUUUAAGGAUUCAUAAGCUGGCAAGUUAAGGCAUUGGAAUAUUGGAUUAAUGUUGUCAGCUAUGCCUAGCCAUGGCCUUUACAAUCAUUGCACCUGAUUGCAGUUGCACAGUUGAAGUUGCUUUAAUUAGGCAUCCUCUCUUGCCACUCUUGACAGCUCACCCUACUAGGAAAUUGAAAAGAACUGAUGAACUCUUUCGUCUUAAGGAUCUAGAAGUUGUUGCAAUAGCAGGAUUUUUUUCUGUUAUUCAUUUUGGUUUUACCCACAUGAUUAGCAUGCAACUUGACAUUCAUUGACAGGUUUGCAUUCAUCUCUCCAAGUUGUCAAAAUCUUGUGGUUGAUCUGCAAUACUUAUCCCCCACAUUGUUUAGUCUGAUGGAUGCAAUGCUUGGCAUGGAUGUAAUUGUAUAUUUUUGUAGGAUCAUCUUGUGAACCUGGUUCUGACACCUAACUAUAUGGAGCUACAUUUCUCUCUAGGGCUUUUGUUCUUUGGGGGAAGAAAAAUCUUCAGGGGUUCUAUUCUAAAGGAAAAUAAUGACCUUUAUCACCAAAAAAUAAAAAGAUAAAUAAUCAAAAAUCAUUCUCAAGCUUACAGUGCUCUAUAUAGAGGCUGCUAUUACCUGAAUCCUGACUCCAAUAGUCCAACAACAAUUUAUUAUUAAAGUGCCCAAAAAACCAGCUGGUGCCCUCUUCUUCACCCUAAUAGAUCAUUACUUUUAGGGCUUUUGGUUAGUUUGAUGGUCCCCUUGAAUCAGAUGCCUAGGAAACCAGGUGUUUCCCUUGGCAAGGCCAAGUAGCGUCAAGAACCCCUCACCAAGUCCAAGCAGGGGUUGCUGACGUUUUAUCCAAAUUAGGCAAGAGAUCUCCAAUCCUAUUGGGUCUGUUCACGUGGGCAAAGUGGCGGGUUGAGUAGCGAAUAGGUCCCACGAACCUCAUUGUAAUACAUAUUGUUUCAUAUGUCAAAUUCUAGUCUAGCACAUUAUUUCUUGGUGUUUAACUAGAAUUAUUUUCUAAACUGAUUCCAUUCCCAGAUCAGAUCUGACCAAUAUCUUCAAUUUUGUUCAUGUCAUCCCUCUUUGAACCUGAUGGUGAUCUCAAUUAAGAUUUUGUCAAGUAUGAUGUGAAUGUAUUUGGAAGGCCAUAAUGAAUUGUUAAGGUGGCCUGAGCCAAUUUAGGUUAGAAGCAUAAAAAUAAAAGAAGAUCAAAUGUAUUUGGAAGAUCAAAGAAAAAUGAGAGAAACAAUUGCAUUUGGAUUGUCCAUUGACAUUUGCCCUUAACUUAAUGCAGGGAAAUCUCUACAUAGGCAGGGAUAUUACAAGUGUUGUUGGAAUAAGUUCUGGAAGGGAAUGUUGGUAAAGCUAUAUAGGCAGAGAUCUUCUAUGAUAGCACAAUUAAUAAUAUAAGGUCAUAUAAUAAUAUAUUGUUUCCCAUAGCAUGAUGCUUUAGAUAAAGGGUUGUUUGAAUUAAUUAUUUCAUUUUAUACCUGGUCUGUUGCUUGUCUCAAGCAUGAUGCUUCGAAAAUGACCAUCAUCACCUUAAUUUGAUGAAAGCAGGUUAGUUUAACUACACCAAGCAACUUCACUAUGUUGUAAUUUUUUUAUCAUUUUUUGAGUUGACCGAGAAAUUGGCUAUUUACUUCUGAAUAUUGCUGCAUGUCACUAAUUCAAGUCACCUUGCUUAAUCUUUUUCUUUUUCAAACUUCAAUAUGCUAGUAUUAUAGUGUUAUUCUGUGAUGUUUGCAGUAUCAGUUAGUUGUCUUCAGAAACAAAGAACUGAUAGAAUUUCUGUCAAAACUGGUUCUUAUCAGGUGGUAUAUGGUAGAGUUGAACAAUAACUCGUUGGAAUACGACUUCUGUGGUCUUAUAAUGGAGGAUAAUUCUGACCAAAAGAUGGUUGAAGUUAACAAAUCUCUGCCUUGCAAGAGAUCUAGAAGAGAGAGGAACCCUGCAAAAGCACUUGCAUUAAUUUCAACUGACCUCAUGGAUCAGCAAAUCUGGAAAGACUUUCCAGAGGAUCUUUUUGAAGCUGUAAUUGCUAGACUCCCUAUAGAUUCCUUCUUCCGUUUCCGGACUGUAUGCAGAAAGUGGAACUCCUUGUUGACCUCACACAGCUUCUCCCAACACUUUGCGGAAGUUCCACGUUUGCACCCUUGGUUCUAUACGGUGACUCCUGAAAACAUAAGCAGUGCAGCAAUGUAUGACCCUUCUUCGAGAAAAUGGCAUCAUUUCUCCAUCCCAUUUCUGCCUGCAAAGACGAUAAUUCUUCCAGUAGCCUCAGCUGGUGGUCUCAUUUGUUUCUUGGAUUUAGGACACAAAAACUUCUACGUUUGCAAUCCUCUAACAAACUCAUUCAAAGAACUUCCACCAAGGUCCUUCCGGGUCUGGUCACGAGUGGCUGUUGGGAUGAUACUAAAUGGGACGACUGCCAACGAUGGGUACAAAAUAGUGUGGCUUGGAUGCAAUGGAGAUCAUGAGAUCUAUGACUCACUUCAGAACAGCUGGACACGUAACGGAGCUUUUCCUUCGAGCAUCAAGCUUCCCCUUUCUUUAAAUUUUAGGUCACAAACUGUGUCCAUUGGCAAUAGUCUGUACUUUAUGCAUGCUGAACCAGAUGGUAUUUUGUCGUAUGAUGUGGCAAAUGGUGCCUGGAAGCAAUUCAUUAUCCCAUCACCGUCGCAUCUUACAGACUAUACACUUGCAGAGUAUGGGGGUCAGGUUAUGCUUGUAGGGUUGGUGACCAAGAAUGCUGUCACAUGCAUCUACAUAUGGGAGUUGCAAAAGAUGACUCUCUUGUGGAAGGAGGUGGACAGAAUGCCAAAUAUCUGGUGCUUAGAGCUGUAUGGUAAGCACGUAAGGAUGACAUGCUUGGGCAAUCGGGGGUUGCUUAUGCUGUCUUUGAGGUCAAGGCGGAUGAACCGUCUUGUUACGUAUAAUAUGUCCAGCAAGGAAUGGCAGAGAGUACCAGAGUGUUUGCUCCCUCAUGGCCGGAAGAGGCAGUCGAUUGCAUGUGGCACUGCAUUUGAUCCAUGUCCCACUGCUUUUGCAUGAUUGCUUUCUCCUGCUUCUGAGAAGAUACAAAGUUCUGCCUGUUAGUGCAUCCGAUGUCCUCAGUGAUCAUUUUCUGAAUAUUUUCUUUGCCUUGUUACAUCACGAAGAAUACCAAGCCUUCUAUCACCUCUUUAGAGGUUGUGUAAACAUUUCUCAUUUCUGUUCUGGGCCACGUCAAAAUAACUAGCAGUCUUGUUAUUUUGCAUCCCUGUGCUGGUUCUUUUAUCUGAUUUCUUUCCAAAGAAUAUCUCAAGAACCAGGAUGAGUUUACAUGAAUCACCUUAGAUUUCUUUGUUGAAGGUGGCUAGUGUUUUGAUUUCUUGUUCAGGCUUGGUUCAAAGUCCGUAUUGUGGUCUGGUUGAUAUUGAUGUCGAGUUCUCUGCUAAGGCUGUUCAGGCUUGUUUCGUGUGCAAAUCAGCUAGCUCAUGCUUGCUUGAUUUGAAGGCUGAAUUGCAUAUAGGGUUGAUCUGAAGCUGAUCGGGUUGAGAUCAGCUCAGUUUGGCUUUAUAGACUUGUAGACUUGCCAGUUCAUGGAAUGCUAGGAGCAUGUGACAAAAUGAACUAGAUAUUGAAAUUUCUCUUCUUACAGGUUACAGAUGCAGAACACGUUAUGCAACAUGCAAUGUCACAUGGAAAACAUGAAGAUUUCAACAUCACAAAUGGUAGGUAACAUAACAUGACUCGUUUUACAUUUUAUGGUUUCAGAUUCACCUUGAAGUUACUUGUUCCACUGCAUCACUGCUCUACAAUUUCCACCUUCAUAUACUGUACACCAGGGAAUCCCCUAAUGCAGGUCAGGGAUAGUGCUCUAUUUGUGCUAGAAUUGGAGUCUUAAAGAGGUACUGUGACUCGAUGGUAUUUGUUUCUAUGCUGAAACACUAGUGGAUUGUGUGUUUUUGUAAAGAUUCAUGAGUUAGAAUGAUAGCAUUUUUAAUAUAGUUGUAAACAGCAGUGGAGAUGGUGCUUUCAAAUGGUGUCAUUGUAGUUAUUUAUUGGAUUUUUGUGUUUGAUGCAUGAACUAAAUGGCGUGUACCAAAUGAUGUAUAAGCUAGUUUUGUACCAAAUGAGAACUUGGCAAAAUAUUAAACUGUGUAGGUCUUGUUUCCUCACUCAUCAUCCACUUCACUUUAUAUGCCAAAGGAAACACUUGUUAUGAGUCCAAAUAUUAGCAGGUAAAUAGUAUAAACUAUACAGUUCAUUUAAGCCAAUAUGCAGAUUGAAUAGAGAGCGAGAGAUUAAAGAGAAGAGGAAUCAUAUCCCAAAAGGUGAGCACUAGUAUGAUAUUUCUGUAGAUUCACACUUCCAUGCAGGCAUCAUAUUAUUUUUAUUACAUGUUAUGAAUUGUUGUAGGCUAUCACACUUUAUGCCAUGUAGAUAGAUCCUUGGUAUUUGGAGGCAAGGCGAAUAUUCAUGUUAUGUUACUUAUCCAAUGAUGUCAGAGCCAUGGUAAGAUCAUAGUUGUUAUUAGGAUCAGCAACUCAUGUCCUUCGUAUUCCUGACCAUAUUUUUUGGUUGAAUCGUUUCUUGUUCCAGUGUAGAUGGUUUGGAACAUCAUGCACAGAACAAAUACAUCAACAUCGAUCGAUACGAUACGACAACAAAUCAAAACUCAAGUGUAGAUGGUUUGGAACAUCAGAAGCUAUGCACAAGCGUUUUACACAAUACUUAUUCACUUUUGCACAGAAUAAAUACAUCAACAUUCGAUCGAUACAACGAUACGAUACGACCGACAAAUCGAAACUCAAGCAGUAGGCCACGACUACUUGGAAGCAGACACAACACUCCAGGAAAAUGAAUCAGGAUCUCACGUACCAUUUCCGUAGAGACUGGCAUAGACGACCUUGGUCCUGUGCACAAGAAUCAUGCUCAAGAUCACUGCGACGACACAGAGUCCCGACAUCAACAAGGAAGAAAGGAAGAAGCAUAUGGCUCCUUCACACUGGAGUGUCUUCUCCUCGCUGAAGCUUGCUGCAUCGAGCAUUCUUCCAAACAAGAAGGCUGACGAACUAUGUCGAUUUCGAGCUUGUUUCUCGGCUUCGUGAUCAUACAUACCACUAACAAUCAGACCAGAGAACACUAAUGAACCUGCUGGAUUUGCGACGGUGAGAAAAUUGUACAGUGCUCCAAAGUUCUUCAAGCCAAACAGUUCAGAGGCAGCAGCUGGCACGAUAGACCAGUGCGCACCAUAUCCGAGCCCAAUGAGCAGAGUGCCGAUGUACAUUGCCCGUGGCCAAGCCAUUGCAAAGCAAAAAUGUCCGAGUGCCAUCAGAACCUGAGCUACUGCCAGCGCUACAGGCCUCGGAUACGCCCGAUUCCUGAUAAGAUUAUCCCAAAAAUGGUGGAAGGAUGUUACAUAGAGACAUCAUUAGUACAAAAACAUGGAAGCAUUUCUCUUCUAUUUUGAUCCUACUCCAUUACCGUUUAUAGGUAGUAAGUACUUCCUCUAAUCCUCGUCUUUUGAUGUAAACAUAUAUUCCCUUAUCUGCUGAUUAUAUAUAUAUAUAUAUAUAUAUAUAUAUAUAUAUAAUCGUCACAUAUCCAACAUGUGGUAUGGUUUUAGAACUUGAUUAUAUCCCGCAUUGUAUUAUUAUAUUUCUUGGCAAUUAUUUCCACCCAGAAAACUUUAGGGAGGAGAUAACAGAAUAAUGAUGAUGCUUUAUUUAGUAGCUCCAUCUACUCGAUGAACUGCUAUUUGAAGGUCAAAUUCACUCUAGGGAGAAGAAUAUUGCAAUUGAAACCAAGAAAAGGAAUUGCUUUUCAUCACAAGCAUGACCACAGACAUACUAAGAUGGAUACUAGAAAUAAAGAAAAUGGGACAUAAACGUAGCUAGUAUCUUGUAGUUAUGGUUCAUUCUUUCGAAAACAAGAAUUGCUCAUAUGGUGCCUAAAGAGCAAGGAUGUUUCAUGACAUUAUUGAUUUGGCUGUAGAAUCGAUGAUAAAUACAUUAGCUAGCAGAUAGAAGCAAUAUGAACUAAUUAUUUGCAUGGAAUGAUGAGCUGUGCAGCAAAGGAACAAAACACAGUUGACAUAUAAUACCUGACGAUGAUCUCAGAAACAUAACCUCCACCGAUACGUCCAAGAAAAUUCCAAAUGCUGAUCAUGGAGACAAAAAUAUGAGUGUCCUCAUAACCCAAAGAUUGGCUCAUCUGACCCAAAUUAUCGAUGACCGUCAGACCAGAUCCUGAUCCCAACAGCAGAGAGAAGAACAAUAGCCAGAAAUCUGCUUUGAUUAGAGCUUGUAACAGCGUGAAGUCCUCUCCCCGACGUGGUCCUCUUUUCCUCCUGACUCUCACAGCUCCUUCGGCUGCAGCCUGAAACAGUCUUGCUUGCAACUGCGCAAUUCUUUUCUGCCUCUCUAAUUCAGGAAGCGAGUCGACUUCCUUAGGCUUCUCGUCUUCAACCUCACUCAGAAUAACCUCAGCUUGUUCCUGGGAUCCUACUCCUCCCCCUCCUCCUUUCGUAUUCUCAGGUAAAAGACUCUCUCGAGUGGCUGCAGGGUCUUCGGAGGAACUCGACGUCAAGAGCACAGGUAUUGCUACAGGGACUAAAAGAAUAAGGAUCAAAAUGAGAGUAAACGUGGUGAUCACAGUUCGGCUCAAGUCGAUUAGAUCUUCGAGGAGCAUGACACCCAGCAGAUAAGCAGCCAGAAUCAAGCACACACUGUAGAUGAAGCUAAAGCUGUAAUCGUCAGAAGGCCUCACUUGUCUGUGACCCCCAACAGGUCUCACGAUGAACAUCAAGGCCAUCACCACCAUGGUCGGCCCAACUGCGACCAUAAAAAUGAGAGCUGCAUGAUUCGGGAUGUGGAUCAUAGCAUAUAAUUGAGUUAAAAUAGCACCACUUAGACCGGCAAAUCCCUUCAGGAUGCCCACCACAGGUCCCCUGCUCUUAGGGAAGUUUUGCACACAAGAAACCAAGGCAGCAGUGUUGAAGUAUGUCUCUCCAUUGUUGCCAACAAAGAUCAGAAUGCACAUCUGCACCAGACACACCAAAACCAACAUAAAUUUGUCACGCUAGAUAUCAACAUAAAGAGCCAGAUCGAAAAGAACAACUAUUCCGAUGAUAAAGGCUAAAUCACAUUUCUUUUUGGAAGUUAAAAGAGAGUACGAGAAGCCUCGAGGGAAGAGCAGUAGUACAACAAUGAGUGACAUGCCAGAAAGAGUCAGCUGGCCGGCUGGCUGGCUGCAAGAGCAGCGAUUCACAAAUGACUCAGUUCAGAUGUACUUGCAGAACUUAAUCCUGCAGAGAAAAUUCUCCAAAUUUUCUUCGAAUGAAGCAAUUCAGACACAGUCCCCACGAGAGAUCCUCUCAGAAGUCAGAACCCUUAUAAUAUCAUAACAUGCCAGUGUGCCAAAAACUGUAAAUUUCCACGCUUUUAUUUACCAAUUAUAACAUGUCAAUCGAUCAAAGAAUUCAGUAGUUCCAAUGUAAAAGAAGCAAUAAGAGGUCAACGCCGAAAAGAAAAUUCAAAGUAGCAGUAAAACUGUGAUUCUUCAAAGAAAGAAAGGAAAAAGAGCACGUUUUGCCGAGGAACGUAAAGCCCGGGAAAAGGCUUGGCUUACCACCCAGAGAGGCAAAACCGGCACUUGUCGUGUCACGACGAGCCAAACCAAUCCAUAGCCGAUCAAGUUCUGCAGCGCGCCGAUGAGGAGAGCGACCCAAAGGGGAAGGAUUUCGCAGAGGGUGCCGGCGAGGAACCCGACGCUGUCGCCGAGGUCCUUGGCGACGCCGAGGCUGGCGAUCUGGCGCUGGUUGUAGCCCAUGGAACUCUUUAUCACCGGCGAGAUGCUGCCGAACAAGUAGCCGAUCCCGGCCCAGGACUGCAUCCACAUUGCCGCCACAAACACCAACCAUCUGUUGUGGAAGAAGGACUGCAGGUUUCCUUGGAGCCUGUCCAUCGUUCCUCGCCUCGCUAGGUUGAGCAAUCGAGUCAAAGGUGGGACCUUUACCCUUUUACCAACGGUGCCUGGUUCAGGAACAACGAGGGAAAGUGAUCGAGUCGGGUUCUUUCUUCCUUUUUUGAGCUCAAGUGUGGAUAUUCUUCUCUUUCCUUCUUGAUUACCUGGAUUUGAUAGCUUCGGAAGAGAAGAAAUCCAAACUACAAGCCAUGUAAAGAUGCGAUCUUUUGGCCUUUUCUGUGUGAUUCUCAAGCAAAACACUGGGAUCAAAGCUCCAAAACAGGAACUUUCUUCCUCUCUUAUAUUCUUCUCUCAGAAAAGGAGAAAGCUGGCAAGCUGGUGGUGAAGAAGCAGCGGCAAUGAGAUCUUAUAGAAUCUAGGAACCAAGAGAGGAGCCUCACAAAUAGAAAGAGAGUUCUACUUCUCUUCUUCUUCCACGAAACAAUUUUCUAGAUUCGAAAAGGACCGUGUGUGAGGGAGACUGAGACACACAACUAAAACCCAGAGGAACAACUAUACCAAGACGCCAGAUGUCUCCCUUAGAUUCAUGAAACGCGAAAUGAUUAGAGCUUUCAGCUUGUGAACAUGACAUUUCUGUCCUCCUCAAGAACUUGAUGACACUUGGAAACAGUUCAUCGAACAAUGAUUUCGUUUGUAGCUCAACGACCAGCGAGCGGCCACAGACAGUCUCCUCCUCGUUUUCUGGUCAGUUCAGCAUCGUCUGGCGUGCAAGCUUCGCUCCAAUUUAAUCAUAGACCUCAUGUAUUUAAUCAAUGAUGGAUGAUAAUUAUUUUAAAUUAGAUGGCUAAUAAAUCCUAAAAGCUCCUAAUUUGUAUUAGCCUCUAAAAUUCUAAACCUACUCCGAUAUCAUAAAAAAAGAAAAAAGAAAGGUAUUUUUACCGACCCUGAUAUCAUGAAAAUUUGGGAUAGAAAAGAUACAAAGUACGAUCCGAGAGGGAGAAAGGGUGAAGAGGAGGAGGAGAGGAAACAAAGGGGAAGGGAGAAGAGGAGCUCGCACUAGUAAUGAUACUAUGAAUCUUAUCAAAAUAAAUAUAACUUUUUCUUUUAUAUAUAUAUAUAUAUAUAUAUAUAUAUAUAUAUAUAUAUAUAUAUAUAUAUAUAUAUAUAUAUAUAUAUAUAUAUAUAUAUAUAUANNNNNNNNNNNNNNNNNNNNNNNNNNNNNNNNNNNNNNNNNNNNNNNNNNNNNNNNNNNNNNNNNNNNNNNNNNNNNNNNNNNNNNNNNNNNNNNNNNNNNNNNNNNNNNNNNNNNNNNNNNNNNNNNNNNNNNNNNNNNNNNNNNNNNNNNNNNNNNNNNNNNNNNNNNNNNNNNNNNNNNNNNNNNNNNNNNNNNNNNNNNNNNNNNNNNNNNNNNNNNNNNNNNNNNNNNNNNNNNNNNNNNNNNNNNNNNNNNNNNNNNNNNNNNNNNNNNNNNNNNNNNNNNNNNNNNNNNNNNNNNNNNNNNNNNNNNNNNNNNNNNNNNNNNNNNNNNNNNNNNNNNNNAUAUAUAUAUAUAUAUAUAUAUAUAUAUAUAUAUAUAUAUAUAUAUAUAUAUAUAUAUAUAUAUAUAUAUAUAUAUAUAUAUAUUAAAUAGGAUAGUUUAUCAACUUUAGGUUAAAUAUUUUUGGUCAGUGGUUUAAACCAAACGAAGUUGAUAGAUCAAUUAAUCCAUCAGACCCGGGUCAUGACAUUUGGUAUCAGAACCGAUAUAGUAUUUGAGCAUGAUGAGAAAGCUCGAAUAGAAAAAGACUAUUCAUGGAUGGAGUCAGAGGACUCAUGCUAAACCUUGACGAGGACGAUAAAUCUUUAAGUGGGGGAGAUUGUAACACCCUCAAAUUGACUUAUCAACUUCAGUUUAAGUAUUUUUAGCCAGUGAUUUAGAUCAAAUGAAGUUGAUAGACCAGUUAACCCAUAAAGCCCGGGUCGUGACAUUAACAAAGUGAGAGAAAAGUAAACUUUGGACCAAGAACAGAAUAAUACAUGAAGGUAAUGCCACAAAUCUCGUAGCAAGCAGAUACAAAGAGAGCAACCUCUACAAAGAACUAUGUACGACCGCUAGAUUACAGUUAGACAAACAGAUAAAGCACCCGUUUUAGUUGGUAAUGGCGAAAGAUUAUAUUUAAACAUAUACACUGAUCUAGAACUCAUCUUCUAACCAACCUUUCGGAAUGAUCCAUCCUUUAGCUUUUGCCGAUCUUCUUUAUCGUGUGCACGAUUAAACUCAAGUUUGCUGUGAUAGUUCCACACAUCAUGAUUAUUCUUCGGUUGUUUUAUUAUGUACAAUUAUCCAGCUUGGCCUGCAGAGAAAGAGAAAGGAAAGACAAAUUAUGGCCACAGCAGAAACUGCAAAACAAUUAAUUACUGUCAACUAUACUAACUACAGCAUCACAAAUAUUCUCGAAGAAGAAAUAUUUGAUAGAACCUAAUGAUAGAAUUAAGGUUUUAUCGUAAAAGAAAGAAGUGCUCCGAUAUCAAAUGAUAAGAUCCUAAAGUCUUAUCGUAAAAUACUCUGAUACCAAAUGAUAGAAUCCUAAGGUUUUAUCGUAAAAAAAUGAAAGAAAUGAAAAAAAAAAGGGAUGAUCACUUCGAGGGGAUCGACCUCCUAGGGUUUGGUCCACAGACUAGAAUAAUAUUUUCUUCAUUGAUUGGUUCAUUGAUUGAUUGCUUGUUGUAACGAGAACGCCAAGGAUCGCCGCUCUAAUACCAAAUGAUAGAACCCUAAGGUUUUAUCGUAAAAGAAAAAAGAGCUCUAAUACUAAAUGAUAAGACCCUAAAGUCUUAUCGUAAAAUGCUCUGAUACCAAAUGAUAGAACCCUAAGGUUUUAUAGUAAAAGAAAUGGAAGUAAAAGAAAGGUUUUAUAGUAAAUGGAAGUGAUCAUCCUCUUUUCUUCCAUUUCUUUUACGAUAAAACCUUAGGGUUCUAUCAGUAUCUUUUGGGAUGAGAUGUCUGCUCAUAUAGACACGAGUUUAAAGAUGGCAAGAACAUAGGAUGUAAGAAUCACGAACUCCAAUAUUUUACUUCAAAGAAUCUUCCUGUCUAUAAGAUCAUUUAGAUUUCAACAUGUAGAAGAUAGCAUCAAUGAAUCUGUAACUUCACUGCUAAAGGUCACAUUCAAGAUGUACCUAAGAAACUUGUCGAGGAAAGACAUUCUGAACCGGACCAGAAGGUUGCUGAUUGCCAGACCAUUGUGCUUCAGCUGCCCCUUAUUCAAGAUUUUGUGGAAGCUGAAUCAGGACCUUUGGGUGAAGACAAGAUGAUCGAGUCCUGAAAGGGGAAUUUCAAGAGAGAACAGGCAAGAAAAUUUCAGAACCUUCAACUUAACAUUACAAGGGGCAUCUAAAACUUCAGUUACAUAAACUAGUGCUUAAUCAUAACUCCAGCUAAUCACAUGAUUUUUAACAAAUCUAACAAGACAUGAUAGACUUCUAAAUAAAUGACAUUCCAGAAGCAGCAGCCAAUUAAAGUUUCGUGUUGAAUGAUAAAAGAUGCACCAUUUCCAUCAUUUCUGCAAACUCGGGAGUAAGCUGUAAAGCUGUACCGUCACAAUCUUCACACGGUGUCAUAUGAAUUCUAAGUUUUUUUUUUUUACCUUAACCUGUUGGUAGCUUUCAAGCAUCCGUCGGUACUGCUGCCGUGCUCGAGGGCUCCCUACCACGGAUGUGACCUUGAAGACAGCUUCAUUAAUAGCUGUAUCCAAGUUUUGCCUACGUAAAACCUUGACUAUGUCAUCUUCUUCCUCGUCGAUAUAUUCUGGCUCAGCUUGAAACCCCCGUAAGCCAACUCCUCUUCUAUGCCAUCGCAGCAGGGCCUUUUCUAGGACACCAACGCUCCAAAGGAGCUCCUUGUAAUUUUCCCUUGCUAGACGACCUCUUACAUGAGCCUGUCAUAACAACAAUUGAAAGAAGAAAGAAAAAAAAGUCAUGACCAUAUGGCAAAGGCAGAGUACUGUCUAUCAAUGUCUACUCAAAUAAAAUUAGUGUCAAAACUAACACUUGUUCCAAGUAAUGCAACACGUUACGGGUUGUUACUAGAAACAUUCAAAUGCAAUUUUAUAUUCAUGUAAAAGGAUUUUAUAGAAUUCAUUGAAAGUGCUCUUUGGAAGCAAGAUUGUGAUGUACAAAUAGAUUCUGGCCAAAGUGUGUGCAGUUCAUAAAUAACUAGAAUACAUUAUGAAACCUAACUUCCAGAAAUAUAUCGGACUUUCGUGAAGUUAAAUUUAUUAAAUGUCUGAGAGACUUGUGCUUUAAGUGUCGACAUCUAGGAAAUUUCUCUCUCAAAGAGGAAACCACACUCUAACAAUUUAAAGUAUUAAGAAUUAUUUUUAUGCCACCAUUAUGAAAGAUGAAUUUGUUCAUAACUACAUUUACCUGUUGGUAUAUUUCUAUAUUUCAUAGACAUUCUAUGAAUAGUAUCAUAAGCAUAAUGAUAUCGAAGUUGCUUAUUCUAUGCAAACGGUAAUGCCGAAUGUAACGUGCAACUCAUGUCCCGAAUGUAUGCAGAAGAUCAAAAGAGAAUGCAAAUUUCAAGUACCUGUAUCUUCACAAUACAUCUACGUUUCUGUAGAAACUCCUUUCGUCUUUUCCAACGCUGAUAGUUCCUUUGAAUCGACAAAGCUGCUUGCUCAUAUUUUUUAUCACUAAAACCAUAAAAUGCUUUAUGUGACCUUGAUGCAACAGAAAGUUCAUGUACGCCUGCUGGAGACAUACAUAUGGCAGCUUCUUGUUGCUUCCUCCUGAAAGAAUAUGCUCGGAAAGCAGCUUGUAUACGGGCUGCAGCUUGAACUGCAUUUCUGACAGCUGCUAAUGAAUCUUUAAGUGAAAGUUGAUCCUCUGUCCCACCAUCUGAGUGGGCAUGGGCACUCCUCUCAGAUAUACUGUUCACACCUCUCUGGACCUCCACAUAAGCAGACUCCUCGAAUCUCUCAUUUCUCUCAGUUGUCAGAGAAAAAAGAUGACUGGUUAGUGCAGCUUCUGAAAGAUAUCCAGCAAGACCUUUGUGACCACUGGCAGCAGCUAAAGAAGCUGGCGUUUUGCCUGCUGGAUCAUGUGCACUUGGAUUUGUGACAACUCCGGCUGAAGCACCAGCAGCAAGAAGUGCAGCAACCAUUUCUUCCCUGCAAAGUCGGUUUCCCAAAAGCUAUUUAAACAUGUGUAAGUUAUCAGGAAUCAAGCUCAAAAUUAGAUAGAUAUGUUCUUUUAAUUCUUCAAAUAAUUUCAUUUCAGCCACACUCUAGGAUUCUAGGUCAGUGCAAGCAAAUGGAUGCACUGAUUUCAGAUACCUUCCAGAACUUGCCGCCCAGUGAAGUGCAGUCCAUCCAUUUGAAUCACGGUAGUUUAUGCAUACACCAGAUUUGAGAAUUGGAAGUAAGGCCCACUGAUAACCCAAGGCCGAGAUCAUGUGUAUGAUGCAUUGUUCUUGUUUGGACAGCAGAUGAUCUUUUUCGGUAGCCCCUUGAUGCUUAAAUGAUAACCACUGAUGCAACUUAUCUUUUAAUAGUUCUUGAAGGAUUGCAUUCAUUAUCUUUUCUGGAGCCAUAGAGCCUGAUAGGAGAGCUUCGAUGAUUGGUUCUAACUGAUUUUUGGAUCCUUCCAACUUCCUCAAAGGAUCAACUUCCAGUUCAAGAUCUUCUUGAGGGUUUGAUGCACUAGAAAAAAGUAUCUGCAUAAAUUUGACCAGAGAUAAGAGUUCCGCUGAGAUUUUUGUUGCAACAGCUCCAACUGAUGUACUACUGCAGCUUGCUUUUUCUGGCUUCUCACGAAAUUCAAACUCAUGUGGUUCACUGCAGGGUUGGCUGUUGCCAGAUGUAAUGCACAGUUUGACUUUUCUGGCACUUUGCUGGGGAGUUAAGCAACGGAAAACACCAUCCUGAACAAUUUCCAAAGGAACUUCAAUAUCUCCAAAUAAUACAGUCCAUGUAUGCUCAAAAGGACUGCAAUGAAAGUCUCCUGUGAUGAUAACCUGCAGAGUGACAGUUCCAUGUUAAAAUGAACUCGACGACAGGAUAUGCACCGGUAUCAAGCUAUUGACCUAUUGACUGGUACAGUCAUGGUAAACACCUGAUAUCAUUGAAUAAAAUAAUAAAAUAAAUAGUAUAUGUACCAGUAUCAAGCUAAACAUUUCAAUACCAGUAUUUGGUUGGACCACUAGAUACAAGUCAAUACAUAUAGGUCCAACCAGUAGGUAAGACCUUGCUUAAUACUUAAAAACUACUCCCUCUUGUAGUUAAGGUCACCAAUUUUACUAACGAUGCAAAGAACAUAUAUUUUCCUUUAAAAAACAACUGCAUUUCUAGCUAUUUCAAAUGGAAUAUUAUGUAAAUGCUGGUUUUGUUAUACUCAAAAAAUAGGGUACACUGAAUUGAAGAAACAAUUGGAAGUUGAACAUCACACUCUAAUUUGCAAUAGAAACCAAGGUUCUAAAUCUCAAUGGAAUACCAAUUUCAGUAAAUUUGCUGGACUGAUAUGAUGUCGAUGUACCAGGUGAUAAACCAAACCUUUUAUAUCACUCAGUACCAGCAACAAAAAUAACAAAGAAAUAAUACCAACUGGUAUCAAAGCAUGUAGCUGGUACAAAGGUUUUCAGUUUCCGACAUUGGAUCCAUACCAGUCCAAUUCAUUCCUAAGUACCAAGACAUGGUAUGUCAGAACAGUCUAUAAUACCAUUUGGCUAGGGGAGGGAGAGAGGAAUAAGGAAGGAGGAAGAAGAAGGAAGAAGAGGAAGAGGAGAUAUAUCAUCGAUGAGGCCGGCUGUGAGUGGCAUAUAAAGCACAACGAUAGUUGAUAGUGAGCAUGGGCAGAAAGAAAGCAAUGAAAUUUUAGAAAAAAGGUGUAAUAAAUUAGUUUGGGAUAUAGAAAAAAGAGGUUAAGAGAUGAUUCCAAAAAAUUAAAAAUUCAAACAUUUAAAAAAGUAGAAAUGAGUAAUUUGAUAUCGUGCAACUAAAUCAUUGGAGAUGAUGUCACAAAAAGGAAGCAUCAUAGAAAAUAAUCUAUUUUCAUAUUUCGAAAAGAAUAUGAAGCCAAAUAUAAGCUUAUUAAAUUUCUAGGAUUGUUAUACUAUCUAUGGUUUCCCCUGAAAAUCUGAAGCCUUUAAUCAGAAUCUGUAACCAAGUGUUAUUUAUCCUAAACCAAGUUUUUUCAAUAUUUUAAUUACAUUAAUAAAAUUUAAUAAUAAUUUGAAAUAUUAUUUUAUAAGCUUAAACACUCAGUAAGUUCAGCUUCCUGCUUUCAUAAUUUUAUCAUGUCAGACCUAUUAAAAGAGCCAUGCAGACAGACCAUAUGAUUGGAUUAUUGACAAUCUUGUAUUUGAUUUUCUAGAUGGAUACUAAUGCUAAAAAGGAAAAAAUAAAAAAUUAGUCAAGUACUUCAGCUGGAUAUAGAAAUUAACCAUAGAAAUUAGUCAAGUUACUUUUGGAAGUAUAAGUGGACAUCCUUGCUUUUCUGGAGCAAAACAUAUUAGAGGAUUCACAAAACUUUAGGUUUCAACAGAUUGUGGUAACUAAUCAAUACAACAUGCAACUUCUGGAACUAAAUAGCAUGUCAUAAUACCUAUAAUAAAGGCAGUUAAUUGAAGCAGGAAAUCUUUCAAAUUUGCUUUUGGUCUCGGUGUCGUGUACAUCUCUGAUACUAACACUUACCAGAUAAUUCUCAUUCCAUGUUGAAAUUUUCACAUGUAACCAAUGAUACAUCAUCUAAGGCUUCUAAUCAUGCUAAAUAAGACAAUAUUUUGUACACUGGAAUUUUGACUUUAAAUAAUGUGGAUAUCUAUCUAAUAUUUUAGUAUCUAUGUAAAUGGUUUCUAUAUGUUGUGCAUAUGGUGAUAACAGAUUAUCAAACUCGCACAUAACAUACACUUACAACACACAACUACAGUAAAUAUAUGGAAAAUAUGUACUUGGAUAGUGUAUCUAUGAUGUGUAGUGUCCUACUUUACAAACAUUUGCUAUAUGUGUUUGUAUUGUGACGUCUCAUGACCUUCGUCCAUGCUCAUUGGCAGUUAGAAAUAUCAAAGCAAGUGGGCAUAUUCCUGUCAUACAUUCUGUUCACGUUUGAAAUAUCAUAAAGCAGUCAUCUACAUUCUCUACCAUUACUUAGUUACUCUAGAAUCAAUCUAUCUAUUCAUGUUGCUAGUACUCCAUGAUAUUAAAAGACAAGAAGGAUAACCUGAAAACCAACCAUUGAACAUACACAAAAGUUAAAACCAUAAUUGUGAUUUUAAAACAUGUACUAAUUCUAGUGCAUAUUACUUCCUACUCUUAGCCACCAUCAAGAGGGCAAAAUAGUACAUACUCUCAAGGAAUACAUUUCAGAAAGCUAACCCAGAAUCAGUGUCGACAGAAUACAGUGGAUAUCAGCAAAUACCUUUGUUGGUUCAGAAGAAAACGCCCACUCAGGAACGACUUCGCGUAUGGUAAACAGAUGCCUUUCUGCUAAUGUCAAACCUGAUUCUGUUCGACGAGGAGCUCCAAACUGACUUUGGUCAAACCACAUAUCUGUAAACAAAGAAGAAAACUCACUUAUUUCAGCUGAAGGAGCAGUUUCGCCAGUUCCUUGUAUCAGCAGACUAUAAUUGGCUCCAUAAUUGUCUGCUUCAGUGGCAUAAGAUUGUGGAAAAAGGGAUCCAUGAAGCCUUUCCAAACCAUCUUCAGUUCCAUCAUAAACAAGAUGAAUUAUUAAUCAUAUGGAGCUAACCUUCUUCAAGGUCUAAAAUUAAUAAGAUUAUAAUGUGCUAAAAAAAAUAGGCUAGCUGAUAUGUCAACAAAGAAAAUUUUCAUGACUGGGGACUUCAUUGUAAUCAAAGAUAGCUAAAGUGGUGUUAGUUCAAAUUAUCAUUUUCUGUUGUGUAUCUAUUUGAUAUCACUAGUUCUGUUCUUCUUCCAAAACUUUAUCAUAGCAAAUCAAUUCAUGGUCACAAAAUGUAUUCAGAGUAAGGUAGAACAAAGUUUAGCUUUUUUAUGUAAAAGAUAUAGUAAUGCAAAGUAAAAGAGAAGAAAAAGUUCAGAUGUAGAGUCUCUUUUGAAUGAAAAAGGCUGUUAAUCAAUAAGCUAUUAACUUGUUGAUAUAUUCAAAAUUCAGAAGUUAAAAUCAUAAAAGGUUAAAUAGAUGGUUCACGACAACCAAAACGUUUAAAUACAACUAAAAAAGAAACAAAAACAUGGCUCAGUAAUGCUUGAUAAACUGUUCUGCAUAUAAUAUUACUUUCAUUGAUUCAGCUCAUCAAGAACCACAAGCAAUAAACAAAGCUUAACAGAUACAUGAUUCCAAAUCUAUCCAACUUGAUCAAACAACAAAACAUGCAUGAACUCUUCAACUUACUGUCAUAUUGCAGACUAUCUUCAUUGUGACCGUUUGACAUUUGUUGGAAUUUAUCAAGUGGAUUCUGAAGUGCCUCCUCUUUCGGGCUCCUUGUUUCAUCUUGUGUAUUAUGUGUUUCCACAUUCAGGUUGCAGAAUGGGGGCAGUUCUUCUUCAGAAGAAGCAAAGCUAUCCUUGUCCUUAUCUAAGCUUAACUGCUCUUCAAGCUUUCUCAGUGCUUGACUUAAUUCUGAUUGCAAUAAUUGGUUAGUAGAUUCUGAUCUGUCCAUUGUGUUUAAGUGGGACAUCUUAAUGUUUCCUCCAGUGACCUGAGAAAUAAUUUCUUCCACUGAUCCUGGACUACAUGAGUUCUGACAAGGAUCAUUAAAUUCAAUGGUACAAGAAUGAAUUCCCUGUGCUUGAUCAUUACUGACACUCGUGCUAUAUCUCAGAGUUGGACAAGAAUCAAUUGAGCUGCUGACAAUAGAUUUAGGAAUGUGUCUUCCCUGGGUUGCAGAACAAAGAACAAUAAUCAUAUCACCAGCCAUGGUAACUUAAACCUUGUUUCUCAGCAGUAUACUAGUGGCACAAAGAACUCAGAAAGCAUAAGCAGAACACUGAUGACUCACAAAAUAAAACUUUUGCUGAACUAAACUUUCAGUUUAGAUAUAAAUAAGAGCUGUAAUAUUUUUCACAAACAGUCACUCAUAAUUUGAUAUUUCACUAAUCAUUCUAUAUUUAUAAGUGAUGUCAUAAUUUUUUUUUUCUAGUUCCAUAUUUAAGAUUUGCAUAAACUAAUUUACUAGUUAGAGCAAAACUUGAAUAUAUAUACAUAUAAAUACAUGUAUAUAUACAUGUAUGCAUAUAUAUGUAUACAUGCAUAUAUAUACGUAUAUAUAUAUAUACAUGUAUAUAUAUAUAUAUAUAUAUACAUGUAUAUACAUAUAUAUAUAUAUAUAUAUACAUGUUUCAAGAAUCAUUUUGAGGACUAUAUCUGGUUCUUCAUCUGAUACUUCAAAAAUCAUUUUGAGGGUUACAUCUGGAAGGCUUUCAACUUAUUCAUAUUAUGCAAUCUCAUUUGUUAAAAUCCAAGUACAUAACAUUUUUCCUCUGCAGGAUAAUUUUAUAUAUGUCUUCCACUAGGCUACAAAGUCACUAGAUAGUAAAAACUGAAAACCACUUCCAACGACACCCCUUCCUCCUUCCCUCCACUUUCAAGGAAAAAGAAAAGAAAAAAGGAUCUCAAACCAGUUUUAAAGCAUAAUUUGAUUGUGAUAAAAUACUUGAUAGAUAAAUCCCAGAAGGUCAUAAAAUAGAUCAUCUCCAGAUACUAAGUGGCACUUAACAAACAAAGUAGAAUAAUUUGAAGUUGAAGAGAACCAAGUACCAAUUUAGAAUUCAUGAAAAGGCAUAUAAAUAGCAAGGUUUUAAGUUUCAGUCCAAGAUCUCUACUGAUCACUGCGGACCAAUAUGGGUCCGGUACACACUGGCAGACUAAUAUAUGGUAUAUUAUCAAUAUGCAGGCACACCAGACAGCACAGACCAAAUAUAAAGAGGGAGAGAAGAAGGAAGGAGGAGGAGGGAGAAGAAAAAGGUGGAGGAAGGGAAGGAGAUAGCAGACAAGGCAGAAAGGAGGACAGUGGAGGAAGAAUGGAGGAAGAGAAGGCAAGGCAGAGAGGAAGUGGCAACACAAGAGGAGUGGUAGAAAAAGAAGGAGGAGGAAACGGAGAAAGGAGGAAGAGUGAAGGAAGGAUAGAAGGCGGUGGAAAAAGAGGAGGUACACCAAAGAAGAAGCAGUAGAGCCAUGACAGUGAAAUAACAGAGUGAUGAGAAAAAGAAAGGAGGGAACAGAGAAGAGAGACCAAAGAGAGGGACUGGAGGAAAGAGUGAAAACUAGAAAAAAGUUAACUGUCAUAAAAAAUAUAUAAAAAUAAUUUUAAAAAAGGGGUAUGAACACCGGGCUAUAGGUUAAGCGCCCACUGGUCUUGGUUUUAUUCACUAACACUGGGAGGUAAGCUAGGUUUAGCAGGGUAACUGUGCAUUAAGUCAUUAACAUCUGUUUUGGACUGGACCAGGUAAAAUCACUCAGUCUGCAUCCCAAUUUCUAAUCAGACAGGUGAAUACAAGUCAAUAUGGAUUGGUCCAACCAAUUUUCAAUCCUUGGUAAAGAGUAUGAAAACAAAUUCUUUUAAAAGAUGCUUGUGUCCUAGCUAAAUGCUCCCAUAUUAUGUUGCUUUCUUUUGUCUUGGCUUUUUCCUUUCUAAGGUGAUUACUAUGAUAUCCUUUCUUCAUAUUGGGGUCUUUUUUCUUCUUCAACAACUUAAAUGUCUUCCCCUUCCAUAAACAUGACUGAGCUGAAAAAAGAAGCAUGUCCAGAAUUUGAAAAAAAAACAAACCUUGAUAACAUCUCUAUAGUGUACGAGAACAAUGUGGUCAAAGGCCCUGCAAAUAAGUAAACACAAUAAGUAGGCAUGUACAAAUCUGUGACUACAGCAAUAUAUUGGAAACUAGAUUCCUAAAACUGAAACUUCAAUAUAAAGUGGUCUGGCAUAACAUUGAGAAUGGAAUUCAUUACAGUUGUCAGGCUGUCAGUCUUAUCAGCCGUAGCUCAAGCUUAGUUAUGUAUGAAAUAAUCAACCAUAACACUCAUUCAUAUUACUAACUAGAAAUUUCAUUAACAAUAUAAUCUAGUUUACUAUGACCAAAAAUGAUAUUUCCAACUUCGAUGAAGAUACCUUUUAGUAUUUGGCUAUAAUGAACUUACUGAUAUCAGUAUAAAUUAAAAUGCUACAAUCCUUCCUGAAAAGGUUGGUGAAUAUACCCAGAAUUGCAUACAGCACAAGUCAGAUGAACUCCAUGUGCCCCAAACCACAAUAGAUCCUUCCAUAAGAGAAAGAAGAGCGGGAAAUAGAUAGAGACUUGGCAGAAUAACAAGUCCCAAUAUCGACCUUACAUUUAAAAGUCCCACAGGGCACUUAAAGUGGAGAAUCCUGAAGAAGAAUAUACAAUACAUGUGAUCACCCACAAUUAACAAUACAUCUAUGGAGCUUAGCCAGCAACUACCAGCAGUCAGAAAGAUUUCAAGAUGCAUCUGUUUCUCUCAAGCCUAAGAUGUCUACAUAGAGGCCAACAGCUACAAUCCAGAAUCCAGAGAUUAGCACAAGAAUAAGUUAAUAUCUCUUUCAAUGCUACAUUUUCUGAGUUUUAUAUGGGAAAGUAAAUCAGUGACAACUCAGACAUAUAUGCAGGUGUCGAAUGCAGCAGCAAGAUGGAAAGGAGAUGUAGGCACAAGCAGAGGAAAGAUAACUUGCAUUGCAUAGAUUACAUAUGAUGCUUGUGUUUUAAUGUCUUGAAAAUGUGAAAUUUAUGAAGAUGAGGCUAAAGGAUACUUAAAAACCAAAAAAUCCUCUUUUCUCAGCUCUUCCACUUGACAAUUAAAGUUCAACUCAAUGAUUAAUAAAUGUCUAGAACAUGGAUAUAAUGCAUAUAUUUCCAACAUGGAACACACAAUUUGAGCAUCCAGGUAACCCUGCAUUUUUUUUUUUGUAUCAAGGUAAAUGAGAUUAAUUUUCUAAAAUGAAGUCUAUGUAGCCGCAUAUGUGUACACAAUCAUAUGGCAGCAUUACAUAGGAUCUAUACAGAUGCAAAAAUACAAUUUGAUUGCAUAUAUAGCCUAUAUGGUGCCUUAUGUGGUCAACAGCCACUUGAAUGAUUCACAUAGACAUGUAUAUGCAAUCACAUAUAAGUAGCCAAAUAUACAGUCUGCAUAAGCAGGGACAUCCUCAGUUCUAUUAUUUGUGCUAUUAUGUUAUUUUAAUAAUUUAAAACAUAAAUUUUUACCAUGUAUACCUUUCGCAUGUAUUGUAAGGGCAAGUUUUAGUGUCAUAGUAGGACUUCUCAAGGGUCAAGAUUGCUAAAACUGGGGAGGGAAGAAUCUCAGCUUAAACAAUUAAAGAUUCUAAAAUGAAUUUCAAAAGCAUUAUUUCUAGUAUCUGUUGAUUCUGAUAUGAGACAACCGAUCCAUAUCAAUAUCAUUCAAGAACAAUCUGAUUUUAAUCGAUUUUUUUACCAUAUAGUUAAAAAUCAACAGGAAACAACUAGAAUCAAUUGAACCCAAUCAAAGUUGACCAAUACGGGUCAAUUUUAGCCAACUCCACAACGUCUAAAGAAAAGCAUAGAAGAGAGAAGUAGGAGGCAAAGAAGAUAAAAGCUGAGGUAUAGAGAAGAUCAAAAAAUAAAUGAUUAUGACUAUGAAACAAUAAAGACACUACUACCAUUUGUUUAUUGUUGCAUCCACCACACUUACCAUCUACCAUAAAUGUUACAAUAUGUAUCAUUCAUCAUAUACUAUAGAGAUAAAAGGGUAUUGAAAGAAAGAAGGAAAGGAUAUAGAGUAGUCUUUUAUCUCUUAGAAAAAUAGAGAUGCUAUCACCUACAAUGAAGUGUGGCUUAUCUUCAAGUUGGUAAAUUUAUUAAUAAUUAAGGAUUGCAAUACCACCUGUUAUGAUUUGGUAUAGAUGGUAUAACCGAUCCAAUAUCUUAUGGAUAAAUUGGACAAUUCAAGCCUGGUAUAAGGCAUACAGCCCGGUAUAGGUUUGUACCAGCAACAAAGUUUGCAAUACCCCUACCCCUAAGUACAAUUCGACACUGGUGGUAUUAAUCAGUCCAGCAGCAUACUGGUAUGUGAGGCCUAUACCAUCUGGUACAGGGCCUGCACUGUUGUUACACCCAGUUCAGGAUGGUAGAUGACCUGUAUUGGCAGUUUUUUUUUUCUAUAGUUUCAGUUUUUUCAGUCUUUUUUCAGACUCAGUAUGUAUCAGCGUACUGACACCCAGUAGACCGAUACAGACUGGUUCAAUACCAGUCGAAGCCCUCAUAGGAACAUAUCGGUGCACAAAAUUAUGAAUCUGGCCAUACAAUAAUUUUUUUAAUUUUCAGGCUCUUUUUAAAGCUUGAUAUUUUGGUAUGUACUGACACAUAGUAUGUUGGUACAGCUUGGAGCCGUAUUAGGCCAGGUUAGGAUUGACACUGGUCCAGUAUCCAAAAUUAAGGACUUUGGUAAUAAUAUCUUUAUAGUUUAUACAAUGACAAUACCAAGCCAUAAUGUCUCAACUAGUUUGGGUUGCCUACAUGGAUUUUUCUCCACUAUUAAGCUCUAUGUAAUCUGAGAUCUGUAAUAAAACCAAGAGCAUUCAUAUCUCCAUUACUGGUUCUAGUAAAGUCUUCUUAGGUCUCCUCUAUCCUUACACCACUAAUUCAAAUUGCUUCAUAUCAUUUAGUCACAGUAUUUAUAGGUCUUCUUUGAAUCAAUAUAUACAUUUCAGAUCAUUUUCUUUCUUUUUAUCCUUUAUUACGGCAACAAAUAAUUUCUUUUAAAUUGAAACAUUUCUUAUCCUAUUAUUUAUAGUAACCCCACAUAUGCAGCCUUAUAAUUAUUUUUAAAAAAAUAAUUUUAAAUGGAAACACAGUCAUCACACAAAAACCCUAGCAUCCAUUUCCAAAUUUAUCACUUAGAUUUUGUUCUAUAAAUAAUGUGCUUACGAAUCUCUCAAUCCUAUUGAAUAACUGAUCUAAGAUACCUUAACAAGGUCUAUCGUGCCGUGGCAUACCACCGGGUAUGGAUAGUAUGUAUUGAUCCGACAAGGGACCGAUACAUGGACUACCCUAUACCGAGUGAUCUAUGUUAUAUAACCCCUUAUCGUCCGAUACUAGAUCUGUACAAGUCAGAAUGGUCAAAAUCCGAUCGUUACCGACCUGUAUCGAUCGAUAACAGUUGGAUUUUGAUCGAUACUGAUCAAGGGCCAGGAUUGAUUUCAUUCAAAUAGUCCAUUUAACCAUUUGAACCAUUGCAAAGGGUUUUUAAACCCUUUUUACCCCUUCAUUCUCUCCCCUUUCACUCUCUCUAACUCAUCUACUCAAUCACUUUUUCACUCAUAUAUUUCUCUCAUUCUCUCAUUUGUACUCUCUUAAACUCCACAAGGCUACAAUUUGUGGAUUGGAUCAAACUUCAUAGGCUAAUUAAGGAGGAUUAACACCUAAGUUAGAGGAAGAACUCCCUAAUUAAAGGUAUGUAUCUUUUUUCUCAAUUUUUGAUGAUUUUUAAAUUAAAUAAGCCUAUUAAAUGUUCUCUAAUCAAAUAUAUAUGUUACUUUUUUUCUUAAUUUAGAUUUUUUGCUAUAUUUAUACUAAAUUUAUAUUUAUUUCUAACUUAAAAAUCUUAAUCUAUUUUUUUUUUUAAGGACUAUUUGGAGCUAUUUUUUAUCAAUUUCUUAUAUCGUUAGCACGACGAGGUACACCGGUAUGAGGCGGUACAUACCAUACAGCUGAUUGACCGGUACAUCAAUUCAGACUGGUAAGGCAAACCUUGCCUGAAACUCUUAGUUACAAAGACUUUUUAUUCCUAAAACUACAUUUCAAAUAUUUGAUCAUAUUCCUACUUAAUUUAUAAUCUUUAUUUCUAAGGUAUGUCUUCAUAAUUCAAGUUUAAAAUUUAAUCUCAACUAAACUAUCAUCAAUCAAAAGAAUAUCAUAAGCCAAUAAAUAAACCAUGAUUAUUUAUUCAGUAUGCAUUAGUUUAUCCAUUACCAAUUUACAAUGAUAAUUUAUGUUUAUUUUUAAUAUAAUUUUGGAGAUGUAUGAAACUUGUUAAACAGAUUCCCUAUAGUCCUAAUCAAUUAAUGCAAUUUCACUAGGAUCGAUUCAUAUCAACCAGUAUCUUUUGGUACAGGCAUGAACUAGCAAUGUGGAUCGAGAGGGCAUGCACUUGUCUCUCUCUCACAUGAACCCUUCUUGCAUCAUCAACCACUACCCCCUUCAACAGACUUCAUUUCAUAACUACAUGUAAACCGAAGUUCCAAAAUUAAUCUCAUGCACAAAGUAUCAUAUAAACUUAUGGUUUAAGGUUGCUAAAAAUUGCUGACAGCAAAAUAGAUAUAGCAGAUUCUAUUUAUUCCAAAAGAAAUUACAAUACUAAGACAAUUAUGAGCAAAAGCAAGCUAUAAUACAUGGUUCAAUUGAAAUUAUGAUAAUUAAUAAUUCCAACUAUCCAGAAGUAAUUAGAAGUAGAAUAACUCACGGAUCUAGCAUCCAAUAGCUCCUCCUUUGAAAACAAGAAUUUGGUUCCCCAUGGGCAUAAUAACAAUUUAUUGCUUCAUAAUUUCCAAUCUGGCAAUGAGUAUGCAUAUUGAGACAAUGAAUUAGCAUAAAAUUCAUCAACAGCAUAACCAAAAAAUAUACUAAAUUAGCCAAAGUAUCAAAAACUGACCAAACAAAAAUCAUUUAUAUUGCAAAGCAAAAAAAUUAGAAAACGAAUGAUAAAUUUGACCAUAUGAUGACAUGCAAUUUUGAUCUACUUUCUUUCUACAAUUAAGGAAAACAAAAAAAAGUUGGCAUGAUUUCUGAAAUAUGUAGCAUAGCAGUUUUUGGUGCCAAAUGCAACUCCUAAACUCAUGACUACUGAUUGAUGUUAGUAAGAAUUAUAAUUUCGGUUCGUACUAGUGCACCGAGCAGGCGGGAUACACACCGAGGCAUACCAACAGUAUGCCCAAAAUCAUAAAAAAUCUAAAAAUAAAAGAAAGUUAAAUUAGGGUUUUUAAGUCAGAAAUAAAUAUAAACUUAGUAUAAUUUUAGUAAAAAUAAUAUAAAUUGACCUAAUAUCAAUCAAAUUUUGAUUAAAUCAUCAUUAAAACUACUACUAAUAAUAAUAAAAACCUUAAUUAAAAUCUACUUAAACCUAUUAUACCAUCAUAAACAUAUGAUCCAAUUUUUAAUAUGCAUAAAAUAUAAAGAUUUGACCUAUUAGGUGCCUAUUUUCAAAAAAAUCAAUAUUAAACGCACUAAUUACAGCAUUAAAAAUCUUAAUUACUCCAUAAUUAAUACUAUUCUACCAUCCAAAAUAUAUCAAACAGCAUAUUAGACAUUAAGUCAUACACCACAUAUAAUAGGCUUAAUCAUAUCAUAAAUCAAUAAAAAUCUAGAAAGAGAAUAUGUACCUCUUGAUCAGAGUGCUCUUCCUCUUAAUCCUCUCAAAUUAGCCUCCUAAAUUUGAUCUAAUCCAUAAAUCAUAGCUUUGUUGAGUUUAGGAGAAUGAAAAUAUGAGAAUAGGAGCGAGAUGUGAGUAAAAAAGAGUUUGAGAGAGUUUAAAAGAUUGAGAGAGUGAAAUGAAUUGAAAGAGGGGGGAGGAAAGGGUUUAAAAACUCUUUUCUAAGCCUCAAAUGGUCAAAUUGACUGUUUAAAAUAGGGCAAUCUCAGCUCUUGAUCGAUAACAAUCGAAAUCCGAUCAUUACCAACCGAUAGAGGUUGAUAAUAGUUCGAUUUUGAUCGUUAUCGCCCGAUACAAAUCCCGUAUCGCCCAAUACGGGGUCAAGUGAUUGGUGCUGCUCGAUAGAGGGCAGUCUGCAUACCAGUAUCCUGUUGGACCAGUACAUACCGCUCGUACCGGGUGGUACGCAUUGGUACAGUAAACUUUGAUUGUUAGGAAUAUAUUUUUUCUAAUACAUACUUAGAAGACAGCUAUUGUCAAAAAGUUUCUCUCAAUUAUCUUGGAUUUCAUACUUAUUUUGCGCCUUAUAAGUCAUUGCUUUUACAGUUGCAAUUAGAUCCCAUAAAGUCCAAGAAUUUAUUAAAGGCCUAUCAGGUAAUAGCUGAAUUUACUCUAUGUAACAACCCAUUCACUAGAUAAAAAUGUCUGUUUGUUCUUCUAAGCUCAGGUUUACAGAUUCAUAUGUGGGAUGAAGUCAAUAACUAUACGCUUUACAAAAUGGAUAUACUGUGAUGGGAUUCAGUUGUAUUAGAAGGAAUUGCUCUCAGUUCUCGUACUAUGAGUUCUAAAUUCUCACUUCUCAUACUAUGAAUUCUAGAGUGUUGGAUGGCACUAUCAAAAUUAUUUCUCAAAGGUUCUUAUUUACUAACAAAGUACUCUCACUUCUCGUACUAUUUGCUUUACAAAAUGGAUAUACUGUGAUAGAAUCCAGUUGUAUUAGAAGGAAUUGCUCUCAAUUCUCAUACUAUGAGUUCUAAAUUCUCACUUCUCAUACUAUGAAUUCUAGAGUGUUGGAUGGCACUGUCAAAGUUAUUUCUCGAAGGUUCUUAUUAACAAAGUACUCUCACGACUCGAACUAUGAGUUUUAAAAUCUCACUUUUUAAACUAUGAAUUAUAGACUGCUGGGUGGCACUACCAAAGUUAUUUCUUGAAGGUUCUUAAUUAUAAACAAAGUAGUUUUAACUUUUGUGCAAAGAUGUUAAUUGUUAAAAACAUUCUACAAUAUUUUCUUGAAUUGCUUUCUAUAGAUCAAGAAGCUUAAUCAAGUUGCAUAAAAGACGACAAGCUACACAUGACUUGCUACAAUUUUUCUUUGAACUGCUUGCAUGUCCAUAUCAGAUAUAUAGUGGACAUACGGUACUUCUUGGACAUUUGUGACUUCAUCUUAAAUCCAAUAUCUUUAAAUAAUUACAGCCAUGAUUGGACUGUCUCAUGAUGCUUGUAGGAUACCUCAUGUAUACUUCUUGGGAAAACUUUGUUUACAUAAAUGUUUAUCAUCUUUAUACUACUGGACAUAUGAUUAGAUACAUCGUUUCAGGCCACUUGCAUUAAACAUUUAAUAUGCAAAAGUAAAAUAAUGAUAUUAUCCCAUUUAUUUUAAAAUUGAUUAUUAUCUUGUCCAUAUUCUCAAAGAACUUUCAUGAAGAAUAGGUCAAAGGUGUCAGUUACCUAUUAUUAUUUAUCUGUAUGUGCCUAUAUAUUCUAAUACCAUAAAUAAAUAUAAUGAUAAGUAAGGUAUGCAAUACCGUACCAUACCGGUGUUUCGAGGUUGGCUCGGUACGAUACGGUACAGGCAUACCGAGCUGUCACGAACAAACUUCUAAACAGGAUGUUUGAUGUAAUGCUUAUGUAUGUCCGUGUCUUUUGGUAUGUUCAUGCUUUGCACAGCAUGUAGAGGGAUGGCCGAAGGUUUAAUAGUCCAAUUUUAGUUAGGUUGAUGGCCGCUUUAGGCUUGUAAAUAAAGGUUGUGUCAUGUGGACACUUGUGAGAGAUUUUUGAUUUAUAGUGGACCAUUUUGACCCUUUGUUGUGCAACUGUUCAGAGCUUGUAAAGUCUGUUUGUAAUUUGCAUUGUCUAUGAAGUGUUUCCUGGAAUAUUUGCUUGUGGAUCCCGAGUGAGGCAUUUUCUCUAACCUGUUUUCUCUUUUGUGGGUCCUAAGGGACCAUGGAAUGUUUCGGGGAGGCUGACCUUUGCGGACGGACACGCAAGGGUGCCGCACGACUUAGGCAAAACUAGCUAAGUCCGUGACAGAUAGUAUCAGAGCGGGAUAAGCACUCAUAGAAACACUUGGCAUGCAAACGUGGGGGACCUAGUGAGGCUGCGUUGAGGGCAGUCAACACACGCACGACCAUUUGAGGGAAAACGGGUAUAGAGAUGUAGGGAAAAGGAGUCGCUCAGAGGAGCGGGCAUCUGAGAUUGGCAUUCAGAGGAAUGGCCAACCCUUCGCGCAAGAGGCACCACGAGAACAAGCAAGCUUCGAAGAAUGCGGAGCGCACAAAGGUUGGGUUGGCUGAGUUUGAGCUACGGCUCAACGUUGAUAACUAUACUUAAUGGUGCUCAAGGCAAGCGAGGUGCUUGGUAAAGGAUGAAACAAUGCAAGGUAGAAUGAGUUGCUCAGCGACCGAAAGAGUUUGCAAAGCUCACAGAGGUGAGGGGAAUUGCUAACUCGAAGAAUUCGGUACUUAUGCAUGGGCUUGUAUGCGGACGAUGGAAUGUUUGCGGCCAUCCCAAGGCGACCGAAACUCGGCGUCAUGGAGCAUUGAAACUUUCUCUUCGGUAUGUGAAGGAUACAUCGGUAGGAGGCUGAAGUGUGCAGCGAGUUCAGCAUGUUGCUAGGCCUUGAGUGGUGCAGCGGGGGCUGUAUUGACGUGGAGUCGCAAUCUAGCAAGUGCGUUUACAGGAAGCAGAACAAUGCACAGUUUAUUUAGUAAAUCGGAGUAGUUCAAGGAGAUGGUGGUCUCCGAAAUGAAGAGAGAUGUUACUCCAAUAGGACAGUUAUCCAAGAGGGAUAGAUCUCGGUUUCUCCAAAGGGAGAAUCAUAUGCAACAGGCCGCACAUGUUGAGGAGGAGUACCUCAACAAACAAUAACUCCAUGAAGCUCAAUGGACCGAGCAAGCGGCAAGGAGUCGUCACAUGAUCUCGCUUGAGAGAAUGCAUUGGUAGAUGCAUUGCGAGAUCAAGUGGGGAGCGACCUAAGACAACACAAAUGAAGGCACACUUGGAGUCGAUAUGGAGAUCAGACUCAAGGGAGGGCUGACCCAUGGAACGGUGGGUGCGAGGGCCACCAUCAACUCAAUGCAAAAAUGAGGAGCGACGCAACUUGGGUGUAACUUGGCGAAGUACUCAAGCUGCAUGAAGGGAGCCAGCAUAGAAGAUGAAACAUAGAGCGGAGGCACAGUGUUUUCCUUGGACAGAGGUCAAGGACAUGAACUUUUGCAGAGGCAAGAGCAGGAUCAUGUUGUUUCAUGGGUCCUUCAUUCUGACGGAGCGGACUCAUCUUGCAUGGUGCCAAAGACGAAGGGAGCUUCUGGGCACAUGCACCUUAUCUCGGAGAAGCAUUUGAUAGAGGAACUAAGGCGACUCAACUUGUGGAGGCGAAGUUGGGUUCAGAAGGCCUUGGCAUGAGACAAAAGGACGCGGAGGCAGGUACUUUUGAAGAAUAUGCCACAAUAUUGCCAUCCAAGUUGUCAUAAAGGAAGCGGUACGUAGCGGAGAUUGUGCUGGUAAGGGCAGAGGCCUAGGAUCCAGACAAUGGUGCACCACUUUCAGCGAAGUUGAUAGACUUCGAGAGCUACUAGGCGACGAACUGUCCUAGAGCGGUGCUUUAUCUGGGUGUGACCCAAGAGCGGGUGAAUGAAGGUCAAUUACCAAAGGAGCGAACAAAAUCGAAGGUGAAAGAGAACCUGUGAUGUAUUGGCAGAGGCCACACAUGGCAGGAUCACAAUUCGAGUUCAUCUCACAAAGAUCAGAAUGCAAUAGAGAUGUCACCAGGAGGUGACAUGGUGCAGCGAAUCGUGGUGGAACAAUUCGUGGCAAUACGAUACACACGAUACAGUCCCGUGAUGUCACGAACUUAGCUGGUUUUGCCUAAGUCGUGCGGCACCCUUGCGAGUCCGUCCGCAAAGGUCAGCCUCCCCGAAGCCUCUCAUUGUCCCUUAGGAUCACCAAAAGAGAGAACGGGUUAGAGAGAAUGCCUCAAUCGGGAUCCACAAGCAAACAUCUCCGAAAAACACUUCAUAGACAAUGCAAAUUACAAACAGACUUUACAAGCUAUGAACAGUGGCACAACAAAGGGUAAAAUGGUCCAUUACAGACCGAAGAUCUCUCACACGUGUUCACAUGACACAACCUUUAUUUACAAGCUUAAAGAGGCCACCAACCCAACUAAAAUGGGACUAUUAAGCCUUCGGCCGCCCCUUUACAUGCUGUACAAGGCAUGAACAUGCCAAAAGACACGGACAUACAUAAGCAUUACAUCAAACACCUUGUUUAGAAGUUUGUCCGUGACAUUCUCCCCCACUUAUUCCUUCGACGUCCUCGUUGAAGCCUUUGUCAACACUGCAACUCCUCGCCUUUGCUGAGUCUUCAAUCUUCUGCUCCAGCUACAAUGCGCCUCUUGGCUCCUUGCUGCUCUUCGUUGCUAUUUUUGAGUAGUCGAACCUUUGAUCCGCCAAGCUGCUUCAACUCACCAAUGACUCUGACUCUGGUGUGGGGUUGGUUGAGUCGUGUUGAUCCUUGUUGAUUCCUACGGAUCCCCUAGAUGAAGGAAAAGACCAUCCUUACUGCGCCAGUCUCUCGAAUUUCUCAUGCUGCUAGAACUGGUUGGAUACUUGUUGGAGCUUUAACGAGCAUCAUCUCGCAAACUUCUGAAGUUUUGAGUCCUUCCUCCACAAAAUCUGCUCAUUGACUCUUCUUUCACUUAGUUGUCACAUCCAAGUAGGUUCGCAUCACUUCCGCUUUCGAUUGGCAUUUCGUUUGGAAAUGAAGCGGACAAUCUACUCUCAGUAGCACUGAUCACCGUUGGUGAGGAUUUGACAACUAUUGUCUUCCAUUAUCUUUGAAGGGUCUUUGAACAUCUGCAGAGCUCCUCUGCUAGAUAGAUAAGAGAAUUGGGGUACUCGGUUUCGCCCAUUCUCUUGAGAGUUGAGAAGGUAAAGGUUACUUGACUUCGCCUGCCUCCUCGAGGUUGUACUUCAUGCAUCAAGCUGGUUACUGGCCUUCGCCUGCUCUUUGCUCACACUUCUGAAGCACUUGAAGUGUUUGCACUCCUUGCGUUGAGUUAGUUACUGUGAUUCACCUUCUCAAUGCCAUCGAACUUCUGGAAUGCGGGAAGUUUUCACCCCAACUUGGAGUAAUUCUCUCAUAGGUUUGGUCGCUUCUGGGAUUAUACCGUCUUCUCCAUCAACCCUGCCGCCUACUCCACUGAGUAGCAAAGGUACAGCACCGCGUACUGCCUGCUUCGUUCCUUGGUUAUGCACUCUUGCAUGACCCGAAGUCCUUCACUUUCGGCUAUCUUGAUGAGAAGCACCUUGACACCGGUCUUACGAAGUUCUUCGACCUCUGCCCUUCAGCCUUAUCUCGGUACUUGGAGAUUGCCUCUGCAUUCUCCACCUCCUCGGCCCCUUUCACGACCAAGCGCUCUCCCUCCAUGAGAGCAAGGGAUCAAUGACUUUCACGGAAGUCCCGCCUCUGCGGUACCAUGGCGCUGCCAUGCCCAUAGCCCUACUAUCCGUCGCCUCGCAUCUGCAUCUCUUUUCUUCACAAUCAGUAGAUAUGCCUCUGUGGCACUCCUUCGAGUCCACCUCCAUUCUAACUGAUGCUUGAUUUUGGGUAGCUAAGUCCCUCUGGACUCGUCGUCGCUUCCUCGCCCCUUUCGACCCCCUGCUUCAACACCUUUGUGUUCUCCAAGCAGUCCGUUUGGUCGAUGGAAAGACAGACUGCAACUCCCAUGCAUGGCCUCUGCCAUCACGUUGUAGGGUUUGCACUGAUUCUGUUCUCCUUAGCUUCCUUGGUAGCAACGUUCGCUUACUCG
rnacentral:lncRNA from 1 species